GCGCAUCUGUCUCGCCCCGAACUCGAGGAGCACGACCGACGUUCAAUCGAAUAAACCAAGUCGAGCAAGCUUACAUUACAUCAAUCUCUCAUCAUAACUCAUGCAUGAUUUAUCAAAACAUAAUUAGAUCAUGACUUUCAUAUUGAAUACAUUUGGCUCAAUGGCCCAUAAUUUUGUUUUUCUUUUCUUUUUUCUCGUGAUGGUUACAUAACUUCAUAAAUAUCUAUGAAUAUAAAUGCAUGACGAAACUCAAAACUUACGUACAUGACCCACAAUGUACAUGGAGCUUCUAUGACAAUAGAUACCUAAGUACAUAAAACCAACUAGACUCGAAUGCCCACUGGAAUUGUAGCGGGCUCACCAUAAUCUGCUGCACAAAAGAACCCUACCAAAGAUCCAUAUCAUCAUGUAGAAGUAUACCUGCAUCCAUUAAAAGAUGAAUCGCCCCCGGCAAAAGGGAUGUGAGUACAUGUGAAAUAGUACUCACAUGUAAGGCAAACGGAACAACAUAUGAAAUCAUGGUAAUUCAAAUAAGAGUCAUAUGAACUAUGAGUGGAAUACAUAAUAUAACGUAAUUGAAACAACAUGUUCAAACAAGGCCAAUGAAAAUGGCAUGAAAUGUCUGCGUUAAUAAUGCGUCUCACUAGACUGUCCAUAUCCCUCUCUUAUCUUACACCUAUACAUUUCAUAGACCGUCCUUAGUGUUCAUAUGUCAUAUUAAAGACUUAUGUGUUUCAUAUACUAUUAAUAGGAUUCACAUAUACCAUACAAUACACCCGUGUAUUUCAUAGACCGUUCACAGUAUUUACACAAUACACAAUGAAACGUGACUUCGAGUUUAGAAUGUAUUGUCGGACUUUCAGUUGAUGACUAUGGGGAAUGAAUUGACUUUUACAUCUGGUGGACGAGUAUGGGCUUCGGAGAGUUUACUAAUUUUUGUGGUAGUUGUGCCUAGUGAAGUGUUGUUGAAAGAUGUCGGUAUGAAAAUUCCACAUGUGGGCUAUCUCCUGCGAGCAGGUCAGCAAAUGCGAGAGUUUGAUGAAGCUUCUAUGAAGAAUUCUACUUGCUACCCGGUAAGAGAUCGAAUAUGUGAUUGUGGAUGAUGAUUCGGAAUGUUCAUGAAUCAUGGUGGAUAAUGAUUGAGCCUAUGCAUUUCGUUUGGGAUGGUGGCUGCUGGACGGAGGAAGCUUGAUUGUAGCAAAUGGGAGUUUGCUGGAAAUGAAAAGGUGUGAAACGUGACUUCGAGUUUAGAAUGUAUUGUCGGACUUUUAGUUGAUGACUAUGGGGAAUGAACUGACUUUUACAUCUGGCGGACGAGUAUGGGAUUCUGAGGGUUUACUGAUUGUGUGGUAGUUGUGCCUAGUGAAGCGUUGUUGGAAGAUGUCGGUAUGGAAAUUCCACAUGUGGGCUAUAUCCUGCAAGCAGGUCAGUAGAUGCGAGAGUUUGAUGAAGCUUCUACGAAGAAUUCUACUUGCUACCCGGUAAGAGAUCGAAUAUGUGAUUGUGGCUGAUGAUUCGGAAUGUUUAUGAAAUGUUUAGCAAAUGAUUUUGAGAAAUUUGGUGGGGGUAAAGGUGCAAGAUCCUGGUAAAUGAGAAGGAGGAAUCUUUGCGAGUUCUAGAUUUAUGUAAUUGUAGCUUAAAGCUAAGUGAGGGAGCCCACCGUCUACGAUUGGAUCGCGUGGUUGUCUGCUUGUGCGAUUUCUGAUUAUCGGUGCAUUGGUGGAUCAAUUAUGACUAAGAAAAGAAAAUAUCAGGGGUAAUUCGAGCAAUGAAAUUGAUAAGUGUGUGCUAUAUUUCGCCUUAUCGAUUCAUGUGCAGGUUUUGGCAAGACUCAUAGUUUAUGCCUCUUGUGGAUGUGAUGUACAAGAAAAUAUAAUUUAUUCGAUUGCUUCUUUGAGAGAGUGUUCAUGUGCUAGCAGAGAGUUGGAGUUUGGUUAUAUUCGGGACUAGGUCAAAGCGGGUGACUCUCAACCACGGUCCUAGUGGGUUCAAGAAUUAAAGUGUAGUGCCUAAGGAUUUCGGGUCCGUUGUGUGGUUAAGGAUCGAGUUUUUGCAGUGGGUUAUGAAAGGGUCUUGGAGUGUUCUAUGUUAUCAUCGGGUCUACAGUGCAGUAUGAGAGGAAAGGGAGAAAUAGCUUUGGAUUUGCGGAAGGUCUUAUAGAAUGGGUGUACCGGUUGGAGAUGCUAUUGUGCGCUUGGGGAGGGUAUGAUAUGGUUCAUGGGCAUUGAGAUGAUGUGGUCUCGUGAUUCGGGUCACUCGGGAUGAGUGCGGAUUGAGUUCGUUAUGUUUUUGAAUUGAGUUAUUAUUAUUAUUUCUAAGGUAGGUCAAGAGUGAAUCGGAGGAAGUUGGGUCGGUUGAUAAUGGUUUGAAUCAACGUGAUUGAGUCAAUGAUCAGUUCCUUCGGCGUGUUAAUGUUAUACAGGUGAUUUGUGGCAGUACGUGUGGGCUUGCCAGCCACCAUAACAUGAUAGAUUUGGGAGGUAUUUGAUUCAAAUGGCCUUGUUAUGUAAAUGGAUUCCGGAGGAGUUAUGGCGGUUUAGAUCAUGACUUGAGGUUUGUAUUUUUUGUGGUUUGGGAAUUCAGUUGCGUGUUGCAAUGGUUCUUCUGAAAUGAGUUAAGUGAAAGGUUUCUAGCCAAUGAAGUGUUUAUUCUAAUAGUAUUUUAAGGGUUAUGAUGAAUUCUUGUACCCUCAUAUAUCGGCUUGAUAGGUACAAUGAACGGCAUGGGAACUAGAAGUUGAGGAUCAAGGUUGCGGUUCGGUAUUGAUAAGAAUGUCACGAGCUCAGAUGAGCAUGGGAAGAAUUCAGAUGUUCAGAGUAAGCUGGAAUUUUCUUUAGUGUCACCUGUUAAAGAUAUCCUGUGUAAGAAGCUUUGUAUAUUGAUUUGCGGAUUCUUGAUUUGCUUUACAGAAUUAGUAUGGUUGGUGGUGUGGAGGUACAGACUUUGCUACCUAGUGAAGAAGGUCGUGGGAGCGUAUCCCAUGGGGAAAUUUGUAUAAGUGUGACAUGUUAGUCACCUUAUUGUUAAGGAUUGAAACCAAGUAUGGAGAUUCUGGUAUUGUCGCUAAUGUGAGAGUUUAUGCUUGAGAAACAUUCUAUUCCUUGGGUUGUGGAUGGUGUGAGUUUGUUCUGUAUUUGAUGGUUAUUCUUAUGUGUCAUGGAUAGGGUUAUUGUGGACCCUUGAAAGGUUAUUAACCUAGUAUGGUAUGAUCAGAAUCAGCUUGAGGUCCGUUGGUGGGUCUAAUAUGAAUGUGUUCUCUACAUCAGAUCAGAUGUGUUUAUUCGGCAUAUCAUUCCUUACGGAGGAGCCUUCGGGCAUUGUAUGUUAUUCCCGUCGUCAAUUGUUCCAUGUAAAACUCUAUUGUGUCAUGUGGGUUGUGAGACGACUUGAUUAUUUGCACAUGUAUUGUGAUUCCGUGUAGCUUAUGGUAUUAUCUGAGUAGGAUGUCUCUCGAGAUACAGGCCAUUUAUUGCACCUUAGUCGUUCUUGGGUUUUGUAGUGUAUAGCGCUAUCCGUCUCCCCAGGGUUAUAUUUUUUCACUUGGAGUGCUAGUGGUCAAUAUUCAGAUAUUUCGUAGGUAUGAGUAUUAUAGCCUGAUGGGUAUUUCCUUAUUUACUUUUAUGUGUGGAUCGGGUGGCACGCCGCCACGGGUAUAUUAUUUGGAUCGGGUUCCACGUCGCAGCGGUAUUAUGUUGUUUAGAUCAGGUUGUACACCGCAACGGUAUCAUGUGUUGAUCGGGUUGCAUGCCAUAACAGUGAGAUGUCGAGUACGAUUCCUUAUAUCUAUUCUUGUGUAUUUUGUUCCUCGUUCUCUGAGAAAGGUUCAUAGCAUCUGUUAGACCGUUUUAUUCGUUAUGUGGGCUGGGUAGUUCUUUUCUAGAGUUCGUUCUUCCUUAUGUGUCAUAUUCAAGUUGUAGCUUGUUAGUGUAUUGAUGGCAUCAUAUGAAAUCUUAGACAGUGUUUGAGAUAGUUUAUUUCCUGAGCAGCUUGUACUGGGUGAGACAAGGUUAUUGGACCUAUGAUCAUUGCGAUCGGAGUCAUAUAGGGUAUAUUAAAGAGCAAAUAUCGUUAUUCAAUUCAGAAUGAGGUAAUGGCUCUUGUCAGGAGGAGAGACUCCAUGAUUUGUUGAUUCGGCAGGUGGUUAUUAGUUUUUACAUAUCUCUUUCGUCGUGACAGUAUUGCGAGAGUUGGAACAGGACUCAUAUGCGUUAUGAGGUGUAUUGCGGGCAUCAGAUUCGUGAAAUUCCAGCUAUUGUGGUCGGAGGAUGUUAUUAUGGGCAACCGACUUAUGUGGUGCAUGGUGUGAUUUUACCACAGGUGCAUGAUCAUGUUUUGGUACAGUGUGUAGUAAUUGAUACGGUGUUCGAAUGUUAGAAUCAGGUCUUGUAGAGAAAUUUGGAGAUUGGAAUUUCGUUCAAAGUCUUUUUGACUAAAUAAAAUGGAGGAGCUUCAGUCUGGCUCAAGCUAAUGUGCUCAACUGGGUUGUGGUGGCAUGUGUAGGCGUACGAGAUGUUAAACAGUCAUUUUGGACAACUUCGGAACAGCCUUGGCACGUUCGAGGACGAAUGUAUGUUUAAGUUGGGAAGAAUAUAACCACCCGACUGGUCGCUUUGAGCUCUAGUGCGUCGUUCGGCGAUUUGAGGCUUUGAGUAGCUUCAGUUCAUGUAUUACGACUUGUACGUGUGGUCGGAAUCGAAUUUCGGAAAGUUCAGAGUUGAUUCAGAUGGAAAAUUCUAAUUUCGGAAGAUUUAAGUUGGAAGAAUGGACUAAGGUUUUGCUUUUAAGUAAACGACCUUGGGAUCGGGAUUUAAAGGUUCCAAUAUGUUCGUAUGAUGAUUUCGGACUUGGGCAUUUAUUCGGGUUGAGUAUUGGGUCACCCGGGAGCAUUUCAGCACUUAUUGUAGAAAGUUUGCAUUUUGAAGGUUUUACAAUUUCCUAAGUUUUGUUUGAGGUGGACUUUGGAGUUAUCGAUGACCGUUUGAGAUUCCGAGCCUUAGAAUAGGUUCGUGUCGUGAUUUGUGACUUAUACGUAAAGUUUGGCAUCAUUCAAGAAUGUUUAAGUAUGAAUCAGACGCGUUCAUCGAAGUUUGGAUGUUUGAAAGUUUAAUAAAAGGUUUCGAUCGUCGAUUCAUAGUUUUGAUGAUGUUUGACCGCACCUGCGGUGGAGGCAACGCAGAAGCGGGGGCGUAGAUGCGCAACAAGCAUCGCAGAUGCGGCCGGCGACCUGGCCUGGGUUCUCGCAGGUGCGAGAUCGAAGCCGAAGAAGCAGUCAUCGCAGAAGAGACCAGGGGACCGCAGAUGCGAGGCAGCGCUGGGCAGACAUGAUUUUCAUAUGGGAUUUGGCCCAUUUGCUUUCAUUCUCUUUUGGCUUGGGCGAUUUUUGGAGAGCUUCAAGGAGAGAUUUUUAUCAGCCAUUGCAAGGUAAGUAAUUCCCACAUAAUGUUAGUGAAAUACAUGGAUUAUAUGUGGAUUUAAACAUCGAAAUUAGUAGAAAUUGUGAGAUUUUGAGAGAAACCUAGAAAUUGAUAUUUUUGAAUUUUUACCAUUAAAUUGGACAUGAAAUUAGGAAUAAAUUAUAUAUUUGAGUUCAUAUUGUUAUAGGUAAAUUUUAUCUUCAUACAAUUUAGCAAUCCGGGCACGUGAGCCCGAGGGUUGACUUUAUUGACUUUUCGAGUGGGGCUGAAAAUUGUUAUAAAUUAUUAAAUUGUAAGCAUAAGAAAAUAUUUUGAUUGAAUUGCGCAUUCUUUGACUAGUUUCGGAUCGUUUGGCUUGAAUUGAUGAAUUAGAGAGGCGUUGGAGUCGGAUAUGAAACUUCAGAGCAAGGUAUGUCUCCUGUCUAACCUUAUGAGGGGGAAACUACCCCUAGGUGAUGUAAUUGCUAUAUGAUACUAGUUGUGGGUACUACAUACCCACGAGGUGACGAGAGUUUGUACGUAGCUAAAGCAUGUUUAUGUCCGGGUAGACUUAGGACCUUAUCAUGUAAUAAUUGAAUUAUUUGAACUCAUUCUGCUGGCUUAAUUAUUUGAACUUAUAAUUGAAAUUGAUUUAUAAAUAAAUAUAUGUAUACUAGGCCGAGCCUUAUCACCUUGAGUUGUUGGCUAGUUAUUUGAGAAACGGUAAAGAUUAUAUUCACUUUUGUGCUCAUGUACUGUAUUGUAAGCAUGUGUCUCGUAACUCGAUAACUUCCUUCCUUUCUUGUGGAGCGGGCCGAACGCCUCUGCAGUAUAAUAGAUACAUCUAUGGUUUAUGCCGCUCAACCCUCGGCAGUGUAUAUAUUAUUCUGGAUCGGGCCGAACGACCUCAGCAUAAUCGUGUGUUAUAUUGCUGAUAGUCCGAAUAUUCAUGAGAUUAUCUUUCCACUGAUGCUCAAUAUUUUACAUGGUGCUUCUUAUCCGGUUCUUAUUGGUACUUGAUACACCUGAGCUAAUGAGGUAGAAUAUAAGACCGAGAAAUUCAUACUUUAAAAGAAAUAUUUGGAAGAUUAGGUAACUUACAAAUUUAUCCCAUUAUGGUUGUGUGCUUCACAUCUGCUUAUUGUUUUAUUAUAUUGUUGGACCUCUAGUAAGUGUCGAUGUCGACCCCUCGUAACGACUUCUCCGGGGUUAUGCUAGAUAGUUACUAGGUACGCAUUGAUUUAUGUACUCAUGCUGCAUUUCUGCACUAAAUGUGCAAGAUCUGACAGGUUCAUUUGGUGAUCAUCUUGGCGCGUAGGCGCUGUUGUUGAGGAGACUUUACGUGAGCUGCAUUCUAGACUAUGCAUUGUAGUCCACAUAGUCUCCAUCGUACUAUUUAUUUUUUCCUGUCUCAUUUAUAUUCUAGACAAAUGUUGUAUUAUUAUUGUACUCCUUAGUAAAUGCUCAUGCACUUGUGACACCGGAUUUUGGAAUAUACUAGUUGGUGCUUACGGUUCUGUAUAUUAUCAUUGCUUUUAAUUUCUCUUACAAACUACAAAUUAUGUACAUUCUCGUGGAUUUUAAAAUAUAAAUUUUGUUUCUUGUUAAAACUUAUGAUUUUGAAAGUAAUAAAAUGAGUAAUUAAAUUGAUCAAUCAUUGUUGGCUUGCUUGACGGAAGCGUUAGGCGCCAUCACGACCUAUAGUGAAUUUUGGGUCGUAACAGUAAGCACAUGAAGCCCCUUGCUCCACCCCUGUGAAAAUAUCAAUUUAGGUUAUACAGCGAGAUUUUCGGGUCAUAUCAUAACAUAUUCCAUAAAAUGAUUUCCAAAAUUCAAGCCAGAUUAUUAACAUCUAUGAUGAAUUUAUCCAUAUAUNNNNNNNNNNNNNNNNNNNNNNNNNNNNNNNNNNNNNNNNNNNNNNNNNNNNNNNNNNNNNNNNNNNNNNNNNNNNNNNNNNNNNNNNNNNNNNNNNNNNNNNNNNNNNNNNNNNNNNNNNNNNNNNNNNNNNNNNNNNNNNNNNNNNNNNNNNNNNNNNNNNNNNNNNNNNNNNNNNNNNNNNNNNNNNNNNNNNNNNNNNNNNNNNNNNNNNNNNNNNNNNNNNNNNNNNNNNNNNNNNNNNNNNNNNNNNNNNNNNNNNNNNNNNNNNNNNNNNNNNNNNNNNNNNNNNNNNNNNNNNNNNNNNNNNNNNNNNNNNNNNNNNNNNNNNNNNNNNNNNNNNNNNNNNNNNNNNNNNNNNNNNNNNNNNNNNNNNNNNNNNNNNNNNNNNNNNNNNNNNNNNNNNNNNNNNNNNNNNNNNNNNNNNNNNNNNNNNNNNNNNNNNNNNNNNNNNNNNNNNNNNNNNNNNNNNNNNNNNNNNNNNNNNNNNNNNNNNNNNNNNNNNNNNNNNNNNNNNNNNNNNNNNNNNNNNNNNNNNNNNNNNNNNNNNNNNNNNNNNNNNNNNNNNNNNNNNNNNNNNNNNNNNNNNNNNNNNNNNNNNNNNNNNNNNNNNNNNNNNNNNNNNNNNNNNNNNNNNNNNNNNNNNNNNNNNNNNNNNNNNNNNNNNNNNNNNNNNNNNNNNNNNNNNNNNNNNNNNNNNNNNNNNNNNNNNNNNNNNNNNNNNNNNNNNNNNNNNNNNNNNNNNNNNNNNNNNNNNNNNNNNNNNNNNNNNNNNNNNNNNNNNNNNNNNNNNNNNNNNNNNNNNNNNNNNNNNNNNNNNNNNNNNNNNNNNNNNNNNNNNNNNNNNNNNNNNNNNNNNNNNNNNNNNNNNNNNNNNNNNNNNNNNNNNNNNNNNNNNNNNNNNNNNNNNNNNNNNNNNNNNNNNNNNNNNNNNNNNNNNNNNNNNNNNNNNNNNNNNNNNNNNNNNNNNNNNNNNNNNNNNNNNNNNNNNNNNNNNNNNNNNNNNNNNNNNNNNNNNNNNNNNNNNNNNNNNNNNNNNNNNNNNNNNNNNNNNNNNNNNNNNNNNNNNNNNNNNNNNNNNNNNNNNNNNNNNNNNNNNNNNNNNNNNNNNNNNNNNNNNNNNNNNNNNNNNNNNNNNNNNNNNNNNNNNNNNNNNNNNNNNNNNNNNNNNNNNNNNNNNNNNNNNNNNNNNNNNNNNNNNNNNNNNNNNNNNNNNNNNNNNNNNNNNNNNNNNNNNNNNNNNNNNNNNNNNNNNNNNNNNNNNNNNNNNNNNNNNNNNNNNNNNNNNNNNNNNNNNNNNNNNNNNNNNNNNNNNNNNNNNNNNNNNNNNNNNNNNNNNNNNNNNNNNNNNNNNNNNNNNNNNNNNNNNNNNNNNNNNNNNNNNNNNNNNNNNNNNNNNNNNNNNNNNNNNNNNNNNNNNNNNNNNNNNNNNNNNNNNNNNNNNNNNNNNNNNNNNNNNNNNNNNNNNNNNNNNNNNUAUAUAUAUAUAUAUAUAUAUAUAUAUAUAUAUAUAUAUAUAUAUAUAUAUAUAUUUACAGACACAUAUCUAUAUCUAUAUCUAUAUCUAUAUCUAUAUUAUUAUAGAAGCACAUGAAUGUUUCACGUUAAAUAUUUAACGACAAAAAUAUCCCCAAAAUAUUGAUCGACUAUUAUGCCUUUACAAGGCUAAAUUCAUUCAAAGAGAUAAUCCAUAUUGGAUUAAUUUCACCAAAUAUUUCGAACUCCAGAUUCAACUAAACUUCUUCCUACUUGAAUUUGGGUUAAUUCCUUAUCAAUUUGAAACCGUUCCGAAUUCAAGUUGCAACUGUUUCCACUCUAAUUUCUCCGCUUCUCUUUCUUUGACUAUUAAAGUUUAUAUAACAUAUUAACUUUUAUUUUAUUUAAUAUAAAUUUAAUUUUGAAUUAUUGGUAGGUAGUUGUAACGAUCCGAUCGGUUGUUUUGAGCUCUAGCGCGUCGUUCAGCGGUUUGAGGCCAUGAGCAACUUCACUUCAGGUAUUAUGACUUGUACGCAUGGUCGGAAUUUAAUUUCGAGAAGUUCGGAGGUGAUUUGGAAAGACAAUUCUAAUUUCGGAAGCCUUAAGUUGGAGGAAUUGACUAAAGUGUAAUUUUUGAGUAAACGACCUUAGAAUCGGGAUUUGAAGGUUCCAACAGGUUCGUAUGAUGAUUUUGGACUUGGGCGUAUGUCCAGAUCGGGUUUUGGAUGACUCGGGAGCGUUUCGACACCUAUUAUGGAAGUUGGAAUUUUAGAAGAAUUUCAUAAGUUUGAGUUAGAAGUGCAUUUCAAUAUUAUCAACGUAUGUUUGGGAUUCCAAGUGUGGGAAUAGAUCCGUAUGAUGAUUCUAAUAUUGGGAGCGCGUCCGGAUAUGGAUUUGGAGGUCCGUAGGUCAUUUCGAGGUCAUUUGGCGAAAGUUGAAAAUUUGAAGAUUUUUGAGAAGUUUGACUGGGAGUGAAAUUUUAGAUAUCGGGGUCGGAUUUCGAUUCCGGAAGUUCGAAUAGGUGCGUAAUGCCAAUUAUGACAUGUAUGCAAAAUUUGAGGUCAAUCGGACGUGAUUUGAUAGGUUUCUGCAUCGAAGGUAGAAGUUUCAAAUUUUAAAGUUCAUUAAGUUUGAAUUGAAGGGUGAUUCGUAGUUUCAAUGUUGUUUUGCGUGAGUUGAGGCCUCGACUAUAUUCGUAAUGUGUUUUGGGACGUGUUGGUAUAUUUAGUUGAGGUCCCGAGGGUCUCGGGUGGAUUCCGGAUCGUAAACGGAUCGAGUUUGGGCUUGGAGGAGUGCUGAAGUAUCUGUCUUCUUAUAUAACCGCACUUGCGAGGUUUUGGCCGCAGGUGCGAAGAGGCAAAAGCGGCCAGAAGGUCGCAGAAACGAAAAGGGUGUGGGGGACUGGCAGUCCGGUGGUCCGGACGUUUUGGCGUAGGAGCGAAUGCGCAUGUGCGGGGGACUUAGCACAGAAGCGGGCUGGGCAGCUGGGGGACCUCCGCAGAAGCGGAACUUUUUGCCGCACAUGCGGAACCGCAGAAGAGGCCCAGUGAGCGCAAGUGCGAAGGUCGCCUGGGCAGAAUACAUAAGUUAGCCAAAUCGGGUUUUGGCUCAUUUCACCUCUUUUCUCUCAUUGGAGCUAGCCUUGGAGGCGAUUUUGGAGUGCGAUUUUGUCAUCCUUCAUGAGGUAAGUUAUCCCCACCUAUUUUGAGUUAAAUACAUGGUUUUUAUAUGGAUUCAAGCAUGAAAAUUGGUAGAAAUUGUGGGAUUUUUGAUAGAAAACCUAGAAUUGGUAUUUUUGGAUUUUGACCAUGAAUUUGGGCAUGAAAUUGAAAAUAAAUUAUAUAUUUGAGUUCGUGAGGUUAUGGGUACUGGUUAUCUUCGAAAAUUUUCGAAAUUCGGACACGUGGGCCCGAGGGUAGUUUAAUCAACUUUUCGAACGAAGUUGAAAAUUAGAUUAUAACGAGUAUUAGAGUAUAUAUAUAUUUAUGGAUUUACUCAUUUAUUGACUGGUUUUGGGAGUGUUGGGCAUCGAUUUGAGUUUUUGGAAAGGCUUGGGAGCCGGCUAUGGAACUCCGGAGCGAGGUAAGUCUCCUGUCUAAUUCUGUGAGGGGGAAAUUACCCCUAGGUGUUGUAUAUUAAUGUGUGCUUCUAUUUGCGCGGGGAGGGGGGAGGGGAGGGCUACGUACGCGCGAGAUGACGAAAGUCCGUACGUAGCUACUAAUUAUGCCUUUGUUCGGGUAGUUUUUGGUUUAUACCAUGCUUUGUUGAUACUGUUAUUUGAUUUUGUUUAUUGUUUGCCUUGAAAGGAAUUGAGAUUGAGUAUGCUUAUUAAAUGCCUUGAAAAGAGUUGAAAUUGAGAAUUUUGGGACUUGAAAGAUUUCAUUUGAAUUUCGUAUUUUGAAAAGAAUUAAAGAAUAUCAUGAUAAUAAUAAUUUGAGAAAUCUAUGUGCAACCACGUAGCAAAUAUAUUCCGCGAGCGGGGUAAAUUUCUACUACUCUCAUGGGAGCGGGCUAUUCGCCUAUGCAAGAUUAUGUAUUUCACUCGUAUGGGAUCGGACCGUUCGUCUCGGCAGGAAUUUAUGUACCACACUCUCAUGGGAACGAGUCGUUCGCCUCGCAGUUUAAUAGAUGUAUCUAUGGUUCGGGCCGUUCAACCCUUGGUAGUGCACAAUUUAAUAUUUAUGUUGGAUCGGGCCGUAUGCCUCGGCAUUUCUAUAGAAUAUCCUCAUGGAAUCGUGCAUAAUAUUUGGCAAGAAGCCAGGGUAUAUGUAAAAUUUCCCCUGAUUCGAAUUAUAAUAACCUAUUUGGUGAGAUCCAUUACACACACAUAUAUGCUCCGGUUGAGGAGGAAUUUGCUAAUUAAGAGCUUGAGUUUAUUGUAAGGAGGAUAAAUUUACCACAUAUUUACACUUGUUUGUUUCAUUUAUUUAUUUUGCCUCAUAUUUGUCCACCUCCUUAUUAUACCUGAUAUUAUUGGACCACUAGUGAGUGUCGAUGUCGACCCCUAGUCACUACUUCUCCGUGGUUAGGCUAGAUACUUACUGGGUACACGUGGAUUUACGUACUCAUACUACACUUGCUGCACAUUUUUGUUCAGGUACUUUUAUGUCCGGUGGUCCUUUGAGCACGGAGGCACGGAUGAUGCGGGGACUUGCCUCGAGCUGCAUUUCAGGUUACGAUCCGCAGCCAGCAGAGUCUCCUUCAGAGUUAUUUGUAUUUGUUCUGUCUAAGUUAUAUUCCUGACAGAUAUUGUACUUUAUUUUUACUUCUUAGUCGAUGCCCGUGCACUUGUGACACCGAGUUUUAGGGUGAUUAUGGGUUGUUCUGUAUUGAAAUUGUUAAAAAUAUUAUUGUUUACUCUAUAAAUUCCAUCUUAUACUAUUUAAUGGGAGGAAACUAUGAUUUUAAAAUAUUAAAAUGAGAAACAAAUUAAGUAUGCAUUAUUGGUUUGCCUGACAGCGGUGUCCGGUGCCAUCACGACCUUUAAUGGAUUUUGGGUCGUGAUAGUUGUCACACCUCCUUUUUCCCGAUAGGGGGUAAGGGAUAGGGAGUUUUUCCAAUUAAAGAGACAUUAAUCGAAAUGAGAUUAUUUUAUUUAUUCAGAGUCGCCACUUGGAAUAAUUUAUGGUGUCCCAAGUCAUUGAUUUAUUUUAGAAUCCCAAAUCGAGGAAAAUUGACUCUUAUUAAUGGUCUGCGAACACAGAAGACCGGGUAAGGAAUUAUGUUAACCUGAAAAAAAGGUGUGAGGCACUCCCGAGUUCCGUGAUUUUAGCACGGUCGCUUAACAAUUAAUACUUGGCAUAAUUAUCUGAUUUAUUACAUGUUUUAAACCUAUUGUGCAUUUUUGUCUUUUACCACUUUUUAAUAUUUAUGAAAUUUAUUUGAACAAGUCGCGAUGUCGCGCACUCAUUUGUUUUAGUACACAUUGCGAAUCGCGCCACGUGAAACGCACCCGCGAUUUACAACAUAUUAAUUUUUUAUUAUUGUUUGAAGUUAUGGUCGAGUCACGUGAAACGCACACUCGAGUUGGGGUUUAGGUAUCGUGACCAUGCCACGGGAACCGUACCCAUGACCACGAUGAUUUAUUAAUCGUGCCCAAAGCAAGCUACGAUGUUCAUGGUUGUUCAUUUCCUAAAUUUGAGAUUAUUGCAAGGCCAUGAAUUAUGGAGUAGUUACAGAAAAGUGUAAUAAAUUAGUUAUGGAAGAUUGGACUAGUAGAAUUCUUUUGGCUUGUUCAUCACUUUUAGUAUUUUUAAAUCACUCAAUUUAUUCAAAGGAAAUUACGUACAUAAAUGAAACAAUAUAUCAAAUCAGAACUUUGAACGUUCAAUUACAGUUAUUCGAGAAUCAUGAGCCAAAGUAGCUAAAAUACUAGAUUGGGAUCGCAUUCAAUAGCGUGGCAUAUUGUCAAACAUCUGUUUACCAAAUUAUAGUCCGCAACAUCUUAUAUAUUAACAUUCAAACUUUGCCACAAUAAUCCUUUUUAUAACGGGUGAGUAUUUCCAUAAUCCAACUUCAAUUAAACAAAUAGCAUUAUUAAGUAUAAUCCUAAUCAUUGAAAUGAAGUUCUGCCACUCAAACUUAAAUAAAAAAAUGUAAAGAAAUUCUGUGAGGGCACGCCCAGCACCACAACAUUUGAAGAGAUUCAACUUAAAUAUUCAGAUUUAAAAACUUAACAAAGCAAUUAAAUGACAAAGAUCUAGUAGCCAAUCACAAUGAAUACACCAAAAUUAGACAUGGAUUCAACAAACUAUUUAGGCAUUCAUUCAUACAUAGUUGAGAAUUACAGAGGAAAUAAUUAACAUACCUAUAAGCAGGAACAAAAGGCAGCAGAAUAAGACCGAUAAAGUUUAAAGCUCCUACGCACAGCUACAACAGGAUGAAAAUAACCGAAAUAUAGCAGCUCUUCAACUCGGACCAGCUUUAGAAGUCUCAGAGAAUAUGUACCAGCUGAAAGAAAUUAAAAAUCAGCUUUGAACCCUUUCUUUCUGAUUUAGCGUUCUUCUAUUGAGAGGAGUUAGGGGAGUAGGCGGCUGAUGGCUUGUUUUCUCUUGGGUUUGGACGAGACAGCAAUAGAGGGAAAGGGAAGAGAGAGGGGGGAACAGGGGAACGAGCAGCAGUCACCGGUGGCUGCUGACUCGCCGGAUUCCGGCGCUUGGCAAAGAGAAAGGUGAUUUGAGAGAGAGACGAGGGGUGCGGCUGCUAGUUUCCAAAAUCGGGAAAAGGGUUCCGUCGUUCUCCUUUUAGGGUACGGGAAAAUGGGUGUUUUAAAGAGAAGGCGGAUCCGGUUAGGCCAAUCGGGUCAUGAAAAUUGGGCUUCUAAAGAGAUGACCUUGAAACAAUUGUAAAAAUCACUUUGGACUCAAAUUUUAAUUAAAACUAAAUUGUGUGGCUAAACUAUUACAUAUAUUUUACUCACUAAUUGUCUAAUGACCUAAUUAAAUAACUAACCUAAGAAUGCAUUUUUGUUUUGUUAGAUAUUUAUAUAAUGCAUUUAACAAUGUAAUUAAAUCCUAAAAUGUAAAUUAAAAUCUAAAAUGCUAUGAAAUUAAGAUUUGAACAUUUUUAUGAUUUACGGUAUUCCUAACAUGCAUAAACAAUGCGAAUAAAUGCAAAAUAAAUAAAGAAAAACUUCUAAAAUUCAUAAAAAUAAUUAAAAUUAAUUUUUGGAUUAUUUUUAGAAGUAAUUUCCUAUGUGGGGCAAAAAUUAGGUGCUCACAAUAGUAGUUGUGUAAAAUUUCUGUGAUCAUGCAUUAUUUGAUUCGUAAUAAUUGUGUGGUAACCUUUUUGUAUACUUUAUUUAUGUUCUACAUAAUUGGAUUAAAAAUUUAGCAUUUUAAUUUACAAUUUUUCUUAUUAUUAUAAAAGCACAAUAUAAAAAACACUUGAUCGGCAACAAUAUCCUCAAAAUUUGAUUGACUUUUAAAUCCUUCAAAAGAUAAAUUAUUUCUUCGCGAAAUAAUUUCAUGUUGGAUAAAAUUAUAAUAUAUAAAACUUUGCCUAAUAUGAAUUUAAUUACAUGGAAUUUUAAUCUUAAUCGAAUUCCAAUAAUUCAGCUAUUUGGGAUAUCAUGUCCUACCUAUAAUUGAAAAUUCUACAAGCAUACCAACUUUACAAGUGUGAAAGCGAUUUUAACAACCCUUAUCUCUAUUCUUAUGAGUAGAAGUUUUAUUUAAUAUCACAGUUAAAAAAAAUCAUAGUACUCUUAUUAUUUAUAGUGGUUAGCAUGGAAAAGGUUGGCGACCCCAUGAUUCAUAGGUCUAGACGAGUAGAAUGGUAAAACAAUCACGUUCCUGGGUAAAUCAUAGUACUCGAGUCUCUUCAAGCAAGAGAAUGUAAGCAAGACAUAGAGAUCGACAUCGAAUACAACUUGAAAUGGUAAGGAAAUAUAACGACCCGACCGGUCGUUUUGCUUUCUAAAUCACCAUUUUCCUAAAUAAGACUCUGUGUAUGUGAUUUAUUAGUUUUAUAACUUGGGGGAUGGUUAGUUCGGUUUUGGAAGAGUUCAGGAUGAAAUCGGAACACUUAAUUCCUUAUCAUCUGGUCUUAAAGGGUUAAGUUUGACUUUGGUCAACAAUUCUAGUAGACGAUAUCGGAACCGGGUUUAGACGGUCUCAAUAGGUGUGUAUGAUGAUUUUUGACUUAGGCGUAUGUUCGAAUUGGGUUUUGGAUGACCCAGGAGCGUUUCAGCGCAUAAAGUUGAAAGUUGGUUUGUUGAAGGUUUGAAAGUUCUUUAAAUUUGGUUGGGAGUAGGUUUUAGUGUUAUCGUGGUCCGUUUGGGAUUCCAAGCCAAGAAAUAGUUCUGUAUGGUGAUUUAAGAUGUGCACGCAAAAUUUGGUAUCAUUCCGAGUAGUUUAAGUACGAAUCAGCGCAUUCGAAGUAAGUUGGAGGAAUAUGAAGUUCAUAAGUUGAUCCUAUUGGUUUUGGGUUGAGGUUCUUAGUUUUAAAGUUCUUUUCCGUGUUUCGAGAGAGUGAGCGAGUCCGUUUUAUGAUUUCAAACUUGUUGGUAUGUUUGGACGGGGCCUCGGGAGCCCCGGAUGUCAUUCGGACGAUGCGCGGAAGUUGUUUGGCCUUGGAUGAACAGCUGAAGCAUCAAGCUUCUGGUGCAAUCGCACCUGCGGAGAGCCAGCCGCAGGUGCGAGCUCACACAAGCGAGCUAGCAUCCGCAGAAGCGGCCCAGCAUGGGCAGCUAAGAAAUCGCAGAUGCGGGACAUUGUGUGCACCUGCGAACACGCAGGUGCGAUGGAAGCAACCGCAGAAGCGUCCAAAGCCGCAGGUGCAGCACGCGCGUUGCAACAGCAGCCCCGCAGAAGCGGGACUGUGGUCCGCAAAUACGGAAGAGGCUAACUGAGGGAGAUCCGCAUCUGUGAGGCUUUCUCUGCAAAAGCGGAGCCGCAGAUGUGGUCAUGGAGCCACAAAAAUGGAAGGUCUUGAGGCAGUGAGGUCCCUUUAUUGCGGACUUAGGCCAUGUUUGGAGCUUCCUAGAGAGAGAUUUCCACCUAGCUAUUGAAGAUAAGUAGUUACUACCCAAUGUAAGUUAAAUACAUAGAUUAUGGGUAGAUUUUAACAUGUAAAAUUAUGAUAAUUUUUUGUUUAGAUGAAAAACCUAGGUUUUUGAUAAAAAUGAGAUUUAACCACGAAAAUGGUUAUGGGAUUGAGUGAAAAUUAUAUAUAUGAGUUCCUGAGGUUAUGGGUGUGAUGACCCAAAAGGUCAUCUUAUAUUUUACAAUUCGAUUCUACGCUCUUAAGCCUUAAAAAUUUUAUUUUUAUCCUUCUCGAUUUACGUACGCAAUCCGGGCAUAUUUUCGAAAAGCUGGACNNNNNNNNNNNNGAUCCGUAUCGAAUUAUGGGACCUGGGAGUAUGCCCGAAAUCGAAUUCGGAGGUCCCUAACUCGAGUUAUGAAUUUUUGAUGAAAAUUAAAAGUCUAAAAAUUAUUUGUUCUUAAGAAUUGAUUGAUAUUUUGCAUUGUAAGUAUCGGAUCCGUAUUUUAGUUUCGGAGCUCGGUACAGGUUCAUUAUGAUAUUUAAGACUUGUCUAUGAAAUUUAGUGAGAAACGGAGUUGAUUUGACGUGAUUCGGACAUCCGAUUGAGAAGAUAGGAAUUUUAAAGCUUUUUUGAAAAAUUCAUUCGAUUUGGUGCUAAAUUCGUAGUUCUAGGUGUUAUUUUGGCGAUUUGAUCGCGCGAGCAAGUUCGUAUGAUGUUUCUAGACUUGUGUGCAUGUUUGGUUUAGAGUCUCGAGGGCUCGGGUGAGUUUCGGAUAGGCCACGAGAUGUUUUAGACUUUGGAAAAUCUGGUUUUCUGUAGAUUCUGGUGUUCUGGCAUGUCCUUCUUCGCGUUCGCGAAGGUCCUCUCGCGAACGCGAAGAGUAAACUGAUGAGGCCGGAUUUUUCUUCUUCGCAAACGCGACGGCUUGGUCGCGAACACGAAGCGAUGGGGGAAUUACCCUUCGCGAACGUGACAAGCUCAUCGCGAACGCGUUGUGUUAGUCACUGGGGGGGGGGGGGGAGUCAGCCUUUCCUUCAUCGCGAACGCGAGCAAUGUCUCAUGAAGCAAAGGUUGGGGGGUAGCCUACGCAAACGCGAACACUGUCUCGCAAACGCGAAGGCUUGGCAGCCAAUGCUCUUCGCGAACGCGACAGUGGCCUCGCGAACGCGAUGCACACUGUUGCCCAGCACUUAACAGAAUCCAAACACGGGUUUAAGCCAUUUUUUCAACAUUUUUCAAGAACCAAACGGGUAGAGGCAAUGUUCAAUAGUCAUUUUCUUCCCCAAAGUAUUGGUAAGUGAUUCUAAACCAUUUUCUUUCAAUUACCCAUUACAUUUUAUGAAUUAUCAACCUAAAAUCUAGAGUUUUCAUGAUAGAAUUAGGGGUUAGGGUAGAAACUAGGGAUUCCCGAAAUUUGGUGAUUUAGCCCUCAAUUUGAGGUCGGAUUCCAAAACUAAUUAUAUAUCCGGGCUCGGGGGUGAUUGGGUAAAUGGAUUUUGGUCCGAACCUUAGGUUUUGACCAAGCGGGCCCGGGGUCAGUUUUUUCGACUUUUUUGGAGAAAAAUUUGGAACAUUUAGUUUAUGCAAUAUAAUUGAUUUCUUUAGCAAUAUUUGAUAUUUUUGAGUAGAUACGAGUGGUUUGGAGGUGAAUUCUAGAGGAAAAACUGUGAUUGAGAAUUAAGUGGUCUUCGGAAUAAGGUAAGUGUUGUGUCUAACCCUGCCUUGAGGGAAUUAGGAACCUUAGACUAUUUGCUAUGUGAAAUUCAUGUGAGCGGCAUAUAUGUGAGGUGACGAGUACUUAUGCGCCGCCAAUUUACUUGUUUUCCAUGUUUCUUCUAUUUUUCUUAUAUUGUCUCUUUCCUAUACCUUAUUGCUGCGUGUUAUAUUAGUGUUGUUUAAUUUAUUGUUCUUAUCAUGUUUACGGAUUUUUGUUGAUAAUUGAGUAGUUAUUUCAAAGUUGAGAUUGAUAUUGUGGAACCAAACGUUGAAGUAAGGUUUGUACUUGUUAUUCUAUCUCUCUUUGUUAUUUAUUCAUUUCAUUAUGGUAAGGGAGAGUGUUAAUGCACUAAGGAUGAUGCCGUGCCAUAUUGUGAGUGUUAAUGCACGAAGGGUGACGCCGUGCCAUAUUAUGAGUGUUAAUGCAAGAAUGUUGAUGCCGUGCCAUAUUGUGAGUGUAAAAGCACGAAGGGUGAUGUCGUGCCAUGAUAUGAGAGUUAAUGCAUGAAGGGUGAUGCCGUGCCGUUUCUAUUGAUUUUAUGGUGAGAUUGAGAGUAAAAGCACGAAGGGUGAUGCCGUGAAUUUUUCCUUCACUGUAUUUUUGCUCCUGUUGAUUCGUAGUAUAUUGGUUGUUCAAGUUAUCAUUCUGCUGUAGUUCUUUAUUUCGUAUUUUCCCUCAGCAUGUUUAUCCCUCCCGAUAAUUCUUGUCUAGCUCUUCAUUACUGCUAUUUGUAUAUACACUGUUAAAUUGUAUAGGUUGAUUUGUAGGUGCCUUGCCUUAGCCUCGUCACUACUUCGUCGAGGUUAGGCUCAACACUUACCAGUACAUGGGUCGGUUGUACUGAUACUGCACUCUGUACUUUCCGUGCAGAUUUUGGUACCAGCUCAGGUUGAUCGAGAUUUUGCUAUUGGACAGCUAUCCGGAGACUCAAGGUAGAUCUGUCGGCGUUCACAGACCUUGAAGUCCCCGUCUAUCUUUUCUGUUCUACUGUUUCUUUCAUUCAGAUAGUUGUAUUUCUUUCAAUGCUCAUGAAUUGUGAUUUCAGAUCCGGGUGGUAGUAAUUAAUACAGUUUUAUAUUAUUACGCACUUAUUAUGUUUCAUCUUAGCUAAUUAUUAUUAUUCACUGAAUGGAAAUAAGGGUUUGGUUUAAAUGAUUCUCUAACGUUGGCUUGCCUAGCAAGUGAAAUAUUAGGCGCCAUCACGGUCCCGAUGGUAGGAAUUCCGGGUCGUGACAAUGGGCAAUAACUUUCUUUGAAAAUUUCCAGAAUUCGGGCACGUGGGCCCAACGGUGAAUGUUAAGAAUCUUUUAAUUUGGGUUGGGUAAUUACUCUAAUAGCUAAAUCAUUAACUUUUCAGCCUAUAUUGAUUAAUGUAUACAAUAUUUGACUAGUUUCGGAUUUUUCAGCACCGGGUUGAGGCUUUAGAGUGAAUUUGGAGCCGGAAAGUGAGCUUUGAGAUGAGUUAAGUCUCUUGUCUAACUUUGUAAGAGGGAAUUUACCCCAUAGGUGAUUUAAAUUACUAUUUUCUUCUAAUUGUGGGGGCUACGUAUGCACGAGGUGACGAGAGUCCGUGUGUAGCUACUAAUUAUGCUUAUAUCUGGGUAGUUUAGGACCCAAAUCAUGAAACAUUUGUAAUGUUUGCACCAUACCUGCUAAUUUAAGCGCCUAAAAUAUAUUGGAACUUGAUAAAGGAAUUGUAAAAAGAUCGAAUUUUCACUUACUUUGAGUUUUUGGCGGGUUACUUGACCGUUAAUAGAAGUUGUGCUUCAUUGUGUAUUAGCCUUGUAAUAACUUUUAAAUCGGAUGUUCAUAAAGUAUCCUCUCUUUUUGUAGAGCGGGCCGAACACCUCGGCAGUAGCUAGAUGCAUCUAUGGUUCAUGUCGCCCGACCCUCGAUAGUGUAGACAUUAUUUCGGAUCGGGCCGUACGACCUCAGCAUAAUCAUGCGUGAUAAUACUCGGAGCUUAAUUACAUUUGAUAUUAUUUUAUGGUCUGAGAGGUAUAUAUAUANNNNNNNNNNNNNNNNNNNNNNNNNNNNNNNNNNNNNNNNNNNNNNNNNNNNNNNNNNNNNNNNNNNNNNNNNNNNNNNNNNNNNNNNNNNNNNNNNNNNNNNNNNNNNNNNNNNNNNNNNNNNNNNNNNNNNNNNNNNNNNNNNNNNNNNNNNNNNNNNNNNNNNNNNNNNNNNNNNNNNNNNNNNNNNNNNNNNNNNNNNNNNNNNNNNNNNNNNNNNNNNNNNNNNNNNNNNNNNNNNNNNNNNNNNNNNNNNNNNNNNNNNNNNNNNNNNNNNNNNNNNNNNNNNNNNNNNNNNNNNNNNNNNNNNNNNNNNNNNNNNNNNNNNNNNNNNNNNNNNNNNNNNNNNNNNNNNNNNUCGUGACAACAUGCUAUCAGAGCACUAAGCUCACGUAGGUCUCACAAGUUAUGAGCAGGCCUAAUAGAGUCUUGUGGAUCGGCGCGGAAAUAUCCGUACCUAUCUUUGAGAGGCUAUAGAGUAUUAGGAAACUACUCUUUUUUCAUCUCCUAUCGUGCAAUCAAUGUUGUGCUAAGUAUCUCUCUCUUAUUCUCUCACAGAUGGUGAGAACGCGCGUGGAUGAUGUACCCGAUCAUGGAGGAGCCGCUCCCCUGUUGCUAGAGGUCGAGGCAAAUUCCGAGGGAGGGCUCCAGCUCAUGGUAGAGGAGGGGGAGGACAGGCCCCUACCGCUCAGGCUCUAGGGUAUGCAGCUGCCGUAUAUCAGACCCCGAGCGUACUAACCCGUGGGUGAGGACCAACGAGUUGCAGCAGCUAUACCUGAGCCAGACCAGCUACGGCCGACGAGCCGCAGAAGCUAUUGGAUAGAUGGACCAGACUACACCCUUCUAUCUUUGGAGGUGAGCGACAUGAGGACCCCCAGGAUUUUAUUGAUCAGUAAAGGGACAAACUGCACAACAUGAGGAUAUUGGAGUCACACGGGGUGGACUACCACCUUUCAGCUGGAGGGCAGGGCCCGUAGAUGGUGGCAGUCCUAUCUUUUUGGCAGACCAUCAGAUUCUCCUCCCAUGACUUGGGACCGGUUCACCCAUAUUUUUCUGGAUAGGUAUAUUCCGCCCUCCCAGGGGGAAAAGUUGUGGUUUCAGUUCGAGCAGCUCCAGCUGGGUCAGAUGUCGGUGACCGACUAUGAGGCGAGAUUCUCUAAGUUGUCUCGCCAUGCACUUAUGUUACUUCCUACCGACGCAGAGAGAGUGCAGAGGUUUGUUGUAGGUUUGCACUCUCGUAUUCAGGCCACUAUGGCCCGAGAAGUUAAGAUGGGUCAGAAGCUAGUUCUGGAGAUAUCUUGGAGGAUCGAGGGUGUAUGUAAGCGUAGCCAAGAGGAGGCGACGAGAGAUAAGCGAUUUCGAUAUUCUGGAGAGUUUAGAAGUGCCCCGGCUGGGGGUAGAGGUCAGUUUGUCAGGGGUCAGUCUAGUAGGCCCACAUAUCCAGCACCGCCGCCUCCUAGGGGUGCUUCGGUGUGACUUAUUUCAGCGCCAUACCAGAGAGUUCCUACCGCCCACCAGCUAUUCAAGGUUCUUCCAAUGAGUAUUCAGGCCAUCAGGGUAAGACUUCAGGUCAGUAGUCUACCCUACCGAGAGGUUGUUUCGAGUGCAGGGAUCUCAGUCAUAUACGGAGGUUCUACCCCAAGCUUCAGGGUAAGGCAUUACAGCAGGGUCAUCAGCCUUUGAUUAUAGCACUAGCUGCCCCACCAGCCAUCCGACCACCCAUAGGCGGAGGGCAGGUGGGUAGGGGUCGCCCUAGAGGUGGAGGCCAAUCAGGUGGCGCUCCAGCUAGGUUCUAUGCUUUUCCAGCCAGACCAGAUGUAGUGGCCUUAGAUGCCAUGAUCACAGGUAUUAUAUAUGUCUGCGGCAGGGAUGCUUCCGUACCAUUUAAUCCAGGGUCUACAUAUUCGUAUGUUUCAUCUCUAUUUGCUCAUUUCUUUGAUGUUCCUCAUGAGUCCUUGGGUACUCCUAUUUAUGUAUCCACAUCGGUGGGCUAUUCUAUUAUUGUGGAUUGGAUCUAUCGGUUCCGCAUUAUUACCUUUUGUGGUUAUGAGACUAGAGCGGAUCUUCUGUUGCUCAAUAUGACCGACUUUGAGGUCAUCCUGGGCAUGGACUGGUUGUCUCCAUAUCAUGCCAUCCUUGAUGUCCAUUCCAAGAAUGUUACCUUGACGAUGCCAGAGUUGCCUAGAUAGGAGUGGAAGGGUUCGUCUGUCAGUGCAUCUAGUCGGGUUAUCUCUUUUCUGAAGGCUCGACACAUGGUCCAAAAGGAAUGUUUGGCUUAUCUAACUUAUGUUCAGGAUACUACUAUAGGGACUCCAGCGAUUGAUUCAGUGCCUGUAGUCUUAGAGUUCUUCGAUGUGUUUCCCUCUAAUCCCCCUAGCAUGCCACAAGAUUGUGAUAUCGAUUUCUAUAUUGAUUUGGCUCCAAGUACCCAGCCUAUCUCUAUUCUGCCGUACCGCAUGGCUCCGAAAAAGUUAAAGGAGUUGAACGAACAACUUGAGGAAUUGCUAGCAAAGGGGUUCGCCAGACCGAGUGUGUCUCCUUGGGGUGCACCGGUGUUAUUUGUAAAGAAGAAAGAUGGGCUAUGCGGAUGUGUAUUGAUUGCUGCUAGUUGAACAAAGUUACUAUUAAGAACAAGUACCCAUUGCCGCAUACUGAUGAUUUAUUUGCCCAGUUGCAGGGUGCCAGGGUGUUCUCUAAGAUCGACUUGAGAUUGAGGUACCAUCAAUUGAAGAUUCAGGAUUCAGAUGUUCCGAAAAUGGCUUUCCAGACUAGAUAUGGUCGUUAUAAGUUUCUAAUGAUGUCUUUCGGUUUGACUAAUGCCUCGACGACGUUCAUGGAUUUGAUGAAUUGGGUGUUCAAGCCAUAUAUUUAUUCGUUUGUCAUUGUCUUCAUUGAUGACAUUUUGAUCUACUCACGUAGCAUGGAGGAGCACGCGCAACAUUUGAGAGUGGGGCUUCAGACCUUGUGGGAACAUAAGUUGUAUGCUAAGUUCUCCAAGUGUGAGUUCUUGUUGGAUUCUGUGGCAUUCUUGGGGUAUGCUGUAUCAGGAGAGGGUAUUAAGGUAGAUCCCAGGAAGAUCGAGGCAGUUCAGAAUUGGCCUCGUCCUACCACAACGAUUGAGAUCAGGAGCUUCUUGGGGUUAGCAGGUUAUUAUCACCGAUUUGUGGAGGGCUUCUCAUCUAUUGCAGCACCUUUGACUAGAUUGACCCAGAACGGUGCUCCGUUCCAAUGGUCCGAUGAUUGUGAGGUGAGCUCUAAGAAGCUCAAGACCAUAUUGAACUCAGCACCGAUGAACUCAGCACCGGUGUUAGUGUUGCCUUGUGGUUGAAGGAUGUGUACUGUGUAUUAUGAUGCUUCAUGCGUUGGUUUGGGUUGUGUAUUGAUGCAGGAGGGAUGAGUUAUUGCAUAUUUUUCACGUCAGUUGAAGCCCCACGAGAAGAAUUACCAUGUACACGAUUUGGAGUUAGCUGCGAUUGUUCAUGCUUUCAAGAUCUGGAGGCAUUAUCUUUAUGGGGUGUCCUGUAAGGUUUACACCGAUCAUCGUAGCUUGGAGCAUUUAUUCAAGCAGAGAGAUCUUAAUUUGAGGUAGCGCAGGUGGCUUGAGUUACUAAAAGAUUAUGAUAUUGCCAUCCUUUAUCAUCCGGACAAGUCUAAUGUAGUUGCGGAUGCCUUGAGCAGAAAGGCGAAGAGUAUGUGUAGUUUGUCAUUCAUUGCAGCAGAGGAGAGGCCACUAGCUUUGGACAUUCAGUCCUUGGCUAACAGACUUUUAAGGUUGGAUAUUUCAGAGCCCAGCCGAGUUUUGCAUGCGUUUUCCCCCAGUCUUCACUAUUCGAGCAGAUCAAGGCUCGUAAGUUUGAUGAUCCGCACUUAUUGGUUCUCAGAGAGAUGGUACUACAGGGUGGUCCCAAAGAGGUUACUAUCGGGGAGGAUGGUGUUCUGCGACUCCAUGGUCUCCUAUGUGUCCCUAAUGUUGAUAGAUUGAGGGAAAAGGUUCUAGAGGAGGCACACAAUUCUCAGUAUUCUAUUCACCUAGGUGCUACAAAGAUGUAUCACGACCUAAGGUAGCAUUAUUUGUGGCGGCGGAUGAAGAAGGACAUAGUUGAGUAUGUAGCGAGGUGCCUUAAUUUCUAGUAAGUUAAGUAUGAGCAUCAGAGGCCAGGUGGCCUACUCCAACAGAUGGUUAUACCUGAGUGGAAAUGGGAGCGCAUUACUAUCGAUUUCGUAGUUAGGUUGCCGUAGACCUUGUGAAUGUUUGAUGUAGUUUGGGUCAUUGUCGAUGGGUUGGCCAAGCCAGCACACUUCAUUCCGAUAGUGACCACGUAUUCUUUAGAGAGAUUGGCCCAAAUUUACAUUCAGGAGAUUGUUCAGUUGCACGAUGGACCUGUCUCCAUUAUAUCAAACAGAGGCCCUCAGUUUACUUCGCAUUUCUGGAGAGCAGUACAGAGUGAGUUGGGGAUCCGGGUAGAGCUCAGCACAACCUUUCAUCCGCAGACCAAUGGACAGUCGGAGCGGACAGUUCAGAUCUUGAAGGAUAUGCUCAGAGCAUGUGUGAUUGACUUUGGAGGGCAGUGGAAUCGAUUCUUGCCUUUGACCGAGUUCUCUUGUAACAACAGUUACCAAUCUAGCAUGGAGAUGGCACUAUUUGAGGCUUUAUAUAGUCGGCGAUGUUGUUCGCCCAUAGGAUGGUUUGAGCCGGGCAAGGUUAAGUUAUAUGGUACUGAUUUACUAAACGAUGCCUUUGAAAAGGUAAAGUUGAUUCAGGAGCGACUUCGCACAGCACAGUCCAGACAGAAGAGUUACGCAGAUCAGAAGGCGCAUGAUUUAUCAUUUAUGGUGGGCGAGAAGGUUCUCUUGAAGGUCUCGCCGAUGAAGGGAAUUAUGAGGUUCGGAAAGAAGGGCAAGCUGAGCCCAAGGUUCAUAGCUCCAUUUGAGGUAUUGAGACGAGUUGGGGAGGUUGCUUAUGAGCUUUCUUUGCCUCCCAGUCUAUCUGGAGUUCAUCCGAUUUUCCACCUGUCUAGCCUCCGGAGGUAUCAUGCCGAUAGGUCGCAUGUGUUAGACUUCAGUACGCUUCAGCUAGAUGAGAGCCUGGGUUAUGAGGAGGAGCCAGUUGCUAUUGUUGACAGGCAGGUUCGCCACCUAAGGUCCAAGAAGAUUUAUGCGGUAAAGGUUAACUAGUCGAGGAGGCGACUUGGGAAGCCGAGGGGGACAUGCGGAGCAGAUGUCCAUACUUAUUCGGCACUCCAUGUAGGAUUAUAGACCCGUUCGAGGACGGACGUUUGUUUAAGAGGUGGAGAAUGUAAUGACCCGACUGGUCAUUUUGCUUUCUAGAUCCCCGUUCACCUAAAUAAGACUCCCCGUAUGUAUUUUUUCUAUUUUAUAACUUGCGGGGAUGGUUAGUUCGGGUUUAGAAGAGUUCGAGUUGAAAUCGGAACACUUAGUUCCUUAGCAUUUGGUCUUAAAAGGCUAAGUUUGACUUUAGUCAAUAUUUUUAGUAGACGAUCUCGGAAUCAGGUUUAGACAGUCCCAAUAAGUUUGUAUGAUGAUUUUCGACUUGGCGUAUGUUCGUACCGGGUUUUGGAUGACCCCGUUCGACGCAUAAAGUUGAAAGUUGGUUUAUUGAAGGUUUGAAAGUUUGUUAAAUUUUAUUGGGAGUAGGUUUUACUGUAAUCAAGGUCCGUUUGGGAUUCCGAGCCUAGGAAUAGUUCCGUAUGGUGAUUUAAGACUUGAACACAAAAUUUGGUGUCAUUCAGAGUAGUUUAAGUAUGAAUCGGCGCGUUCAAAGUAAGUUGAAAGAUUUUGAAGUUCAUAAGUUGCUCCUAUUGGUUUUGGGUUGCGGUUUAAUGUUGUUUUCUGCAUUUCGAGGGUGCGAGCGAGUUCGUUUUAUGAUUUCAAACAUGUUGGUAUGUUUGGACAGGCCUUGGGAGCCCCGGAUGUCAAUCAAACGUUGCACGGAAGUUGUUUGGCCUAAGAUGAACAACGGAAGCAUUAAGCGGCUGGCCCUCUGCAGGUGCGAGCUCGUAGAAGCGGCCCAACAUGGGCAGCCCAGAAAUUGCAAAUGCGGGACAUGGUUCGCACCUGCAAACGCGCAGAUGCGAAGGAAGCAACCGCAGAAGCGGCCAAAGCUUCAGGUGUGGUACGCGCGUUGCAGCAGCGGUCCCGUUGAAGCGGGCCUGUGGUCCGCAAAUGCGAAAGAGGCCAACUGAGGGAGAGUCGCAUCUGUGAGGCUUUUUCCACAGAGCGGAGCCGCAUAUACGGUCAUGGAUCCAUAAAAGCCGAAGUCAUGGAGGCAGUGAGGUCCAUUUAUUGCGGACUUAGGCCAUUUUUAGUUCAUUUAUUCCACUUCUUGGGUCGAUUUUGGAGCUUCCUAGAGAGAGAUUUUCACCUAGCUAUUAAAGGUAACUAACUCCUACCCAAUAUAAGUUAAAUACAUAGAUUAUGGGUAGAUGUUAACAUGUGAAAUUAUGAGAAUUUUGGGUUUAGAUGAAAAACCUGGGUUUUAAUUUUUUAUAAAAAUGGGAUUUAACCACGAAAAUGGUUAUGGGAUUGAGUGAAAAUUAUAUAUUUGAGUUCGUGAGGUUAUGGGUAACAACUUUCUUCGAACAUUUCCGAAAUCUGGGCCCGGGGGCCCGGGGAUGAAUGUUAAGAAUCUUCCAAUUUAGGUUGGGUAAUUAUUCUCAUUGCUAAAUCAUUAAUUUUGAGCGUAUAUUAAUUAAUUUAUAUAAUAUUUGACUAGUUUCGAAUUGUUCGGCACCGAGUUUAGGCUUUAGAGUGAAUCUGGAGCCGGAAAGUGAGUUUUGAAACGAGGUAAGUCUCUUGUCUAACCUUAUAAGAGGAAAUUUACCCCAUAGGUGGUUUAUAUUACUAUUUGCUUCUAAUUAUGGGGGCUACGUACGCACAAGGUGACGAGAGUCCGUGAGUAGCUACUAAUUAUGCUUAUGUCCGAGUAGUUUAGAACCCAAAUCAUGAAACAUUUGUAAUGUUUGCACCAUACAUGUUAAUUUAGGCGCCUAAAUUAUAUUGGAACUUGAUAAAGGAAUUGUAAAAGACCGAAUUUCACUUACUUGAGUUUUGGCGGGUUACUUGACCGUUAAUAGAAGUUGUGCUUCUUUGUGUAUUAGCCUUCUAAUAACUUUUAAAUCGGAUGUUCAUAAAGUAUCCUCUCUUUUUGUGGAGCAGGACGAACGCCUCGACAGUAGAUAGAUGUAUCUAUGGUUUGUGCCGCACGACCCUCGACAAUGUAGACAUUAUUUUGGAUCGGGCCGUACAAUCUCGGCAUAAUCAUGCGUGAUAAUAGACUGGAUACUUACUGGGUACAUAUUGUUUAUGUACUCAUGCUAUACUUCUGCGCUAAUCGGACAGGAUCUAAGGUAGGUGCAUCUGGCAGUCUUACCGGCGCGCACCUCCGUUACCCAGAGGCCUAGUGGUGAGCUGCUUCCUGAGCCGUCCUGCAGCACUUAGGGUCUCUCGUUUGCACUUAUUUUGUGUUUAUUUUUAUUUCAGAUAGUAGUUAGGGUUUUGUAUAAUCUACUAGUUGCUCAUACACUUGUGACACCAGGUCUUGGCAUACAUACCGGUAGACUUUAUUGGUUUGGAGUAUUUAUAUCACUAUGAUUGUAUUCAGUUGUCUUCAUUUUAUUUAUUAAAUUUUCUACUCCAUAAUUUCUUAAUAAAUAGAAUUUAAUUACUUGAAAACUUGUCAAAAAGAGAAAUAACUUGGAUUAGUUCAUCGUUGGCUUGCCUUGCGGCAACGUUGGGUGCCAUCACGGCCUAAAGGGGUAAAUGGGUCGUGACGGGAAAAUGAAUUUGUUGUAUUUAAAAGUAAACAAAAUAUUCAGAAGAAAUAAAAAGAGGACCUAAAUUUGAGGAAGAAACCAAUAUAGGUGCCAUGCUAGGGACAAAGAGUUGUUUAAAUAAGCACAUUUGAUAAUGUUUUUACUUCCAAGUAUUUCCUUCUUUAUUGAAUGAACGUUGGGUUGAUUUUUAUUCUGAAUUACUCAUUUACUUUUUUAAUUGAUUGUAUAUAAUUUAAACUUACAUGACUAUUUGACUAUAUAUAUGUGUGUGUGUGUUGCUUUGUGUAAGUUGCGUGCAGAGUUCUAGAGGAGAUAAUUAUUUGUCAAAAGACAACACAUAGACAUAUUAGCAUGACAAAAGUAUUGCUUUUUCAUUUGUCUAUGAAGUGUAAGUUUGUGUUUAAUUUUUUAUUCUUUUGAAUCAGUGCAAAAAUAUUGAUAGGCUUUUGUACAUUGAGUAUUGUUUGUUUUUCUUUUGCCUUCUAAUGUCUUUGAGUUUUGUUGAUAAUGUAAUAUUAUUUAUUAUGAUUGAGUUUAUCUUAAUUUUAUUGUAGUUAAAUUACUCUUUAAAACUCUAGAAGUUAUAAUACGUACCUGUAAUUACUCAAUAUAUUGUAUAAAUUGAGGUAUAUUGUUUAAAUGACUUACGACUAUAUCUUUAAAUAUUGUUUCUUUUGGUUCAAAAAAAUUGUUUAAAAUUUGAAAAACAUAGUAGAAAAUAAAAUUAUAUUUUAAAAAAUAAAUAAUAGACUGAAGAUACUUCAAACGUAUUUAAAAGAAUAUAUCUUCAGACAAACUUAUUUCUUGUAUAUAAUAUUCUUUAUGUUUAGUUUUUAGCUCCUCUAUUUAACUAAUUGACUGAAAAUUUACGUGCGAAGAACGUACAUAGAGACUAGUCUAUAUCUAUAUCUAUAUUAUUAUAAAAAUAUGAAUAAUUUAUACUAAAUGUUAUACGACAAAAAAUAUCCUUGAAAUAUCAACCGACUUUUACGCCGUUAAAAAUUUAAGUCUUUCUUUUAAUAUAUAAUUUCAUAUUAGAUAAAAGUGUAAAAUUAAGAAUUUCUCUCUUACUAGGAUUUUGAUUACCAUCACUGGACACGAUUACUAUACGUAAUUAAGUGCGGACUUUAACCCUUUAUAUAUAAAAACCUUUUGCUUACAAAAUUUACACGUGAUUUGCAUAAUUGUUGUUUGAUAUCACGAGUUUCUACUAGGGAAGGAUGCCAACAUUGAUGUAGCCAAACCGCGGCAAAUUUUCCAUCUAAUCAAUAUUCUAUUUCAUAAUUUAUAGCUUCAGUUAUUGAAUUAGGCUUUGGUAGUUAUUUUUUUUAUUGAUUUGUUUUGUUCAUUGUGUGCCCGUGAGAUUGAAUUCAAUUCACUUACUUUUCUUCUUGUCUUCCUCUUAAAUUUGAUGCGAAGGGUUUAGAUGCCAGCAAAAAUGUCACGAUCCAAUUCUAUUUUAGGUCGUGAUGGCAUCCAACACCGUUGCUAGGCAAGCCAACCUUAACCAAUCUAGUGAUUUCUCAUUUUAAUAAGUUUUUCAAGUAAAUAACUUUCCUUAAUUUAAAAGAUUUAAUAAAUAACAGAUUUAGAAUAAUUAAAACGGAAGCAGCUAAAUGCAGUCAUAACCGUAGAAAUAAAGCCAAAACCACAAGUCUACUAGUGCGUGCCAAGACCUGGUGUCACAAGUGUAUGAGCUACUAGUAGAAUAUACAAAAGACUACUACUCUACUGUCUGAAAUGAGAUAGACAGAACAAUAGCAAAAGAAUGACUCUGGCUACUACAGAACGGCCCGAAAGGCAGCUCACCGUGUAGUCUCGUAAUAGGGAUCAAGCGUGAGCGCCAGACUGAUACCCAGAUGCACCUGCCUCAGAUACUGUACAUUAGGUGCAAAAGUAUAGCGUGAGUACAUAAACAAUAUGUACCCAGUAAGUAUCCAGUCUAACAUUGAAGAAAUAGUGAUGAGGAGUCGACUUUGACACUUACUAUGGGCUAAAAAUAAUAUGCCAAAAUUUACAAAUAAUCAUGGAUUUGGUGAAUAAUACUGAAAACUCAAUAACAGGAAAUAAUAAAUAAUCCUAUAACAUAUACUAAGUCCCGAAUUUAUUUUCAUCAUUUAACAAUUUAUAUCUCAAGCCAAUGAAGCAAUAUCAAUUAUAAAUGAUUCCAAAGAUGUAUCAUGCGCUAAUUGUACCGAGGUCGUAUGACACGAUCUAACAUAAAAUAUUUAAACUGUGCACUGCUGGGAGUCGAACGGCUCGAACCAUAGAUGCAUCUAUCUGCUAUCGAGGUGUUCGGCCUUCUCCACAAAUAGGAAAUACUCUAAAGAAACACAAAUUCUCAAUAACAGUCAAGUGUUCCAUUUACAACUUCAAGUAAGUGAAAUUUAACCUUUUACAAAUUCUUUUAUAAAUUUUGAAUAUGACUUAAGCAAUAAAAUUAACAAUUGAGGGUGCAAACAUCUCAAGUAUAUCAUGAUAUGGGUCCAAGACUACCCGAAAAAUAGCAUAAUUAGUAGCUACGUAUGGACUCUCGCCACCUCGUGCGUACGUAGCGCCCACAAAUGGAAACACAUGUUAAUUAAUUCACCUCGGGGCCCCACCCGAACAUACCAACAAGUUUAAAAUCAUAAAAAGGACUCGCUUGAACUCUCAAAAUACACAAAACAACAUCAAAACUAAGAAUCACACCCCAAACCAAUUGAAUCAAAAUAUGAACUUCAAGUUCUUCAAUUUAUUCCCAACGCGCCGAAAUGUACUUAAACUACUCGAAAUGAUACCAAAUUUUGCGUGCAAUUUUUAAAUGACAUUACAGAACUAUUCCUGGUCUCGGAAUUCCAUUUGGACCUCGAUAUCACCAAAACCUAUUUCAAACCAAAUUUAGAGAACUUCAAAAACCUUCAAAGAACCAACUUUCACUAUUAGGCGCCGAAAUGCUCCCGGGUCAUCCAAACCCAAUCCGAACAUACGCUCAAGUUCGAAAUCAUCAUACGAACCUAUUGGAAUCGUCAAAUCUCGAUUUCGAGGUUGUCUACUCAAAACGUUGACCAAAGUCAAACUUGGCCUUUUUAGCCAACCUUAAGGAACCAAAUAUUCCGAUUUCAACCCGAACCCUUCCAAAUCUCGAACUAACCACCUCCGCAAGUCACAAAAAAGUAAAAGCACACACGAGGAGUUUUAUUUAGGGGAACGGGGUUCUAGAAAGCAAAACGACCGGUCGGGUCGUUACAUUCUCCACCACUUAAACAAACGUUCGUCCUCGAACGGGUCUAGAAUCAUACCUGGAGUGCUUAAUAAGUGUGGAUAUCUGCUCCGCAUGUCCUGCUCGGACUCCCAAGUCACCUCCUCGACUGGUUGGACCCUCCACUGAACCUUUAUCGAGGAAAUCCUCUUGGACCUCAACUGGCGAACCUGCCUAUCAACAAUGGCAACUGGCUCCUCCUCAUAACCCAGGCUCACAUCUAAAUGAAUCGUGCUGAAGUCCAACACAUAUGACACAUUGGCAUGAUACUUUCGGAGCAUGGAUACAUGAAAAAUCGGAUAAACUCCUGAUAGACUGGGCAGCAAAGCAAGCUCAUAAGCAACCUCCCCAACUCGUUUCAACACCUCAAAUGGGCCUAUAAACCUUGGGCUCAACUUGCCCUUCUUCCCAAACCUCAUGAUUCCCUUAACCGGCGAAACCUUCAAGAGAACAUUUUCUUCCACCAUAAAUGAUAAAUCACGCGCCUUCUAAUCCGUGUAACUCUUUUGUCUGGAUUGUGCUGUGCGAAGUUGCUCCUGAAUCAACUUUACUUUUUUCGAGGCAUCCUUCACCAAAUCAGUACCAUAUAACUUAGCCUCACCGGGCUCAAACCACCCGAUGGGAGAACGACAUCGCCGACCAUAUAAAGCCUCAAAUGGAGCCAUCUCGAUGCUGGACUGAUAACUAUUGUUGUAAGCAAACUCGACCAAGGGCAAGAAUCGAUCCCACUGCCCUCCAAAGUCAAUCACACAUGCUCUGAGCAUGUCCUCCAAGAUUUGAACUAUCUGUCUGUGGAUGAAAUGCUGUGCUGAGCUCUACACGGGUCCCUAACUCACUCUGUACUACUCUCCAGAAAUGUGAGGUGAACUGAGGGCCUCUGUCUGAUAUGAUGGAAACAGGCACACCAUGCAACCGAACUAUCUCCUGAAUAUAAAUCCGGGCCAACCUCUCUGAAGUAUACAUAGUCACAACUGGGAUGAAGUUUGCCGACUUGGUCAAUCUGUCAGCAAUGACCCAAACUACAUCGAACUUCCGCAAGGUCCGAAACAACCCAACUACGAAAUCCAUAGUAAUGCACUCCCACUUCUACUCAGGUAUAGUCAUAUGUUGAAGUAGGCCACCUGGCCUCUGGUGCUCAUACUUAACCUGCGGCAAUUUAGUCAUCUAGCUACAUACUCGACUAUGUCUUUCUUCAUUCGCCGCCACUAAUAGUGUUGUCUUAGGUCACGAUACAUCUUCGUAGCACCUGGAUGAAUGGAAUACCGAGAACUGUGUGCUUCCUCUAGAAUCCUCUUCCUCAAGCCAUCGACAUUGGGAACACAUAGACGACCCUGAAGUCGCAGAACACCAUCCUCGACGAUAGUAACCUCCUUGUAACCACCCUGUAGUACCAUCUCUCUGAGAACCAUCAAGUGUGGAUCAUCAAACUGUCGGGCCCUAAUUUGCUCCAAUAGUGAAAAUUGAGUAACGACGCAUGCAAGAACUCGGGUGGGCUAUGAAAUAUAGAACUUCACAAGUUUGUUAGCCAAGGACUGAAUGUCCAAAGCUAGUGGCCUAUCCUCUGCUGAAAUGAAUGCCAAGCUAAACAUACUCUCUGCCUUUCUGCUUAAGGCAUCCGCGACUACAUUCGCCUUACCCGAAUGAUAUAGAAUGGUAAUAUCAUAAUCCUUCAGUAACUCAAGCCAUCUGUGCUGCCUCAAAUUGAGAUCCCUUUGCAUGAACAAAUACUGCAAGCUGCGAUGAUCAGUGUAAACCUCACAAGACACUCCAUAAAGAUAAUGCCUCCAGAUCUUAAGAGCAUGAACAAUCGCGGCCAACUCCAAAUUGUUCACAGGAUAAUUCUUCUCAUGGGGCUUUAGAUGACGUAAAGCAUAUGCAAUAACUUGCCCCUCGUGUAUCAAUACACAACUCAAACCAACACGUGAAGCGUCACAGUACCCGAGGUUCCCGGGGCCCCACCCGACCAUACCAACAAGUUUGAAAUCAUGAAACGGACUCGCUCGAACUCUCGGAACACACAAAACAACAACAAAACGAAGAAUCACACCCAAAAUCAAUUGAAUCAAAAUAUGAAUUUUCAGUUCUUUAAUUUACUCCCAACGCGCCGAAACAUACUUAAACUACUCGGAAUGAUACCGAAUUUUUUGUGCAAGACUUAAAAGACAUUAUGGAACUAUUCUCGAUUUCAGAAUUCCAUUUGGACCUCGAUAUCACCAAAACAUACUUCAAACUAAAUUUAAAGAACUUCAAAAACCUUCAAUAAACCAACUUUCACUAUUAGGCGCCGAAAUGCUCUCGGGUCAUCCAAAACCCGAUUCGAACAUACGCCCAAGUCUGAAAUCAUCAUAUCAACCUAUUGGAACCAUCAAAUCUCGCUUCUGAGGUUGUCUACCAAAAACAUUGACCAAAGUCAAACUUGGCUUUCUUAGCCAACCUUAAGGAACCAAAUGUUCCGAUUUCAACCCGAACCCUUCCAAAUCUUGAACUAACCACCCCCACAAGUCACAAAACAGUAAAAGCACAUAUGAGGAGUUUUAUUUAGGGGAACAGGGUUCUAGACAGAAAAAUGACCAGUCGGGUCGUUACAUUCUCCACCUCUUAAACAAACGUUCGUCCUCGAACGGGUCUAGAAUCAUACAUGGAGUGUUGAAUAAGCGUGGAUAUCUGCUCCGCAUGUCCUCCUCGGAAUCCCAAGUCGCCUCCUCGACUGGAUGGCCCCUCCACUGAACCUUUACCGUGGAAAUCUUCUUUGACCUCAGCUAGCGAACCUUCCUAUCAACAAUGGCAACUGGCUCCUCCUCAUAACCCAGGCUCUCAUCUAACUGAAUCGUGCUGAAGUCCAACAUAUGUGAUAGGUCGGCAUGAUACUUCGGAGCAUAGAUACAUGGAAAAUUAGAUGAACUUCCGUUAGAUUGGGUUACAAAGAAAGCUCGUAAGCAACCUCCCCAACUCAUUUCAAUACCUCAAAUGGGCCUAUAAACCUUGGCCUCAACUUGCCCUUCUUCCCGAACCUCAUGAUUCCUUUCAUUGGCGAAACCUUCAAGAGAACUUAUUCACCCACCAUAAAUGAUAAAUCAUGCACCUUUUGAUCCGCGUAACUCUUCUGCCUGGACUGUGUUGUGCGAAGUCGCUCCUGAAUCAACUUUACCUUUUCCAAGGCAUCCUUCACCAAAUCAGUACCAUAUAAGUUAGCCUCGCCGGACUCAAACCACCCGAUGGGAUAACGACAUCAUCGACCAUAUAAAGCCUCAAAUGGAGCCAUCUCAAUGCUGGACUGAUAACCGUUGUUAUAAGCAAACUCGGCCAAGGGCUAGAAUCGAUCUCACUGCCCUCCAAAGUCAAUCACACAUGCUCUGGGCAUGUCCUUCAAGACCUGAACUGUCCGCUCCGACUGUCCGUCGGUCUGUGGAUGAAAUUUUGUGUUGAGCUUUACACGGGUCCCCAAAUCACUCUGUACUACUCUCCAGAAAUGUGAGGUGAACUGAGAGCCUCUGUCUGAUAUGAUGGAAACAGGCACACCAUGCAACCGAACUAUAUCCUGAAUAUAAAUCUAGGCCAACCUCUCUGAAGUAUACGUAGGCACAACUAGGAUGAAGUGUGUUGACUUAGUCAAUCUAUCAACAAUGACCCAAUCUGCAUCGAACUUCCGCAAGGUCCGCGACAACCCGAUUACAAAAUCCAUUGUAAUGCGCUCCCACUUCCACUCAGGUAUAGUCAUCUGUUGAAGUAGGCCACCUGGCCUCUGGUGCUCAUACAUAACCUGCUGGCAAUUUAGGCAUCUAGCUACAUACUCGACUUUGUCUUUCUUCAUCCGCUGCCACCAAUAGUGCUGUCUCAGGUCACGAUACAUCUUUAUAGCACUUGGAUGAAUGGAAUACCGAGAGAUGUUUGCUUCCUCUAGAAUCCUCUUCCUCAAGACAUCGACGUUGGGAACACAUAGAUGACCCCGGAGUUGCAGAACACCAUCCUUGCCGAUAGUAACCUCCUUGGCACCACCCUUUGUACCGUCUCUCUGAGAACUAUCAAGUGUGGAUCAUCAAGCUGACGGGCACUAAUUUUCUCCAAUAGUGAAGAUUGAGUAAUGACACAUGCAAGAACUCGGCUGGGCUCUGAAAUAUCCAUCCUCACAAAUCUGUUAGCCAAGGACUGAAUGUCCAAAGCUAGUGUCCUCUCCUCUGCUGAAAUGAAUGCCAAGCUACCCAUACUCUCUGCCUUUCUGCUCAAGGCAUCCACGGCUAUAUUCACCUUGCCCGGAUGAUACAUAAUGGUGAUAUCAUAAUCCUUCAGUCACUCAACCCAGCUGUGCUGCUUCAAAUUGAGAUCCCUUUGCCUGAACAAAUACUGCAAGCUAUGAUGAUCAGUGUAAACCUCACAGGACACUCCAUAAAGAUAAUGCCUCAAAAUCUUAAGAGCAUGAACAAUCGCGGCCAACUCCAAAUCGUGCACAGGAUAAUUCUUCUCAUGGGGCUUCAGCUGACGUAAAGCAUAUGCAAUAACUCACCCCUGCUGCAUCAAUACAUAACCCUAACCAACGCGUGAAGCAUCGCAAUACCCGAGGCCCCCCGGGCCCCACCCGAACGUACCAACAAAUUUGAAAUCAUAAAUCGGACUUGAUCGAAAUCUCGGAACACACAAAACAAUAUCAAAACUUAGAAUCACACCCUAAACCAAUUGAAACAAAAUAUGAAAUUUAAGUUCUUCAAUUUACUCCCAAUGCGCCGAAACGUACUUAAACUACUCGGAAUGAUACCAAAUUUUGCGUGCAAGUCUUAAAUGACAUUACAGAACUAUUCCAGGUCUCGGAAUUCCAUUUAGACCUCGAUAUCACCAAAACCUACUUCAAACUAAAUUUAAAGAACUUCAAAAACUAUCAAAGAACCAACAUUCACUAUUAGGCACUGAAAUGCUCACGGUUCAUCCAAAACCCGAUCCGAACACACGCCCAAGUCCGAAAUCAUCAUACGAACCUAUUGGAACCGUCAAAUCUCGAUUCCAAGGACGUCUACAUAAAAUGUUGACCGGUGUCAAAGUUGGCCUUUUUAGCCAAUCAUAAGGAACCAAAACAGUAACAGCACAUACAAAGAGUUUUAUUUGGGGGAACGGGGUACUAGAAAGCAAAAAUGACCGAUCGGGUUGUUACAUUCUCCACCACUUAAACAAACGUUCAUCCUCGAAUGGGUCUAGAAUCAUACCUGGAGUGUUGAAUAAGUGUGGAUAUCUGCUCCUCCUCGGGCUCCCAAGUCACCUCCUCGACUAGGUGGCCCCUCCACUGAACCUUUACCGCAGAAAUACUCUUGGACCUCAAUUGGCGAACCUACCUAUCAACAAUGGCAACUGGAUCCUCCUCAUAACCCAGGCUCUCAUCUAACUGAAUCGUGCUGAAGUCCAACACAUGUGACAGGUCGGCAUGAUACUUCCGUAGCAUGGAUACAUGAAAAACCGAAUGAACUCCCGAUAGACUGGGCGGCAAAGCAAUCUCGUAAGCAACCUCCCCAACUCAUUUCAACACCUCAAAUGGGCCUAUAAACCUUGGCCUCAACUUGCCCUUCUUCCCGAACCUCAUGAUUCCUUUCAUCGGCGAAACCUUCAAAAGAAUGUUUUCACCCUCCAUAAAUGAUAAAUCACGCGCCUUCUAAUCCGCGUAACUCUUAUGUCUGGACUAUGCUGUACGAAGUCGCUCCUGAAUCAACUUUACCUUUUCCUAGGCAUCCUUCACCAAAUCAAUACUACAUAACUUAGCCUCGCCGUGCUCAAACCACCCGACGGAAAAACGACAUCGCCGAUCAUAUAAACCCUCAAAUGGAGCCAUCUCGAUUCUGGACUGAUAACUGUUGUUGUAAGAAAACUCGUCCAAGUGAAAGAAUCUAUCCCAGUACCCUCCAAAGUCAAUCACACAUGCUCAGAGCAUGUCCUCCAAGAUCUAAACUGUCCGCUGCGACUGUCCGUCGGUAUGUGGAUCAAAUGUUGUGCUGAGCUCUACACGGGUCCCCAACUUACUCUGUACUACUCUCCAAAACUUUGAGGUGAACUGAGGGUCUCUGUCUGGUAUGAUGGAAACAUGCAUAUCAUGCAACCGAACUAUCUCCUGAAUAUAAAUCUAGGCCAACCUCUUUGAAGUAUACGUAGUCACAACUAGGAUGAAGUGUGCCGACAUGGUCAAUCUGUCAAUAAUGACCCAAACUGCAUUGAACUUUUGCAAGGUCCGCAAAAACCCAACUAUGAAAUCCAUAGUAAUGCGGUCCCACUUCCACUCAGGUAUAGUCAUUUGUUGAAGUAGGCCACCUGGUUUCUGGUGCACACACUUAACCUGCUGGCAAUUUAGGCAUCUAGAUACAUACUCGACUAUGUGUUUCUUCAUCUUCUGCUACCAAUAGUUAUGUCUCAGGUUACGAUACAUCUUCGUAACACCUGGAUGAAUGGAAUACCGAGAGCUAUGUGCUUCCUAUAGAAUCCUCUUCAUCAAGCCAUCGACGUUGGGAACACAUAUAUGACUUGGAGUCGCAGAACACCAUCCUCGCCGAUAAUAACCUCCUUGGCACCACCCUGUAGUACUGUCUCGCUGAGAACCAUCAAGUGUGGAUCAUCAAACUGUCGGGUCCUAAUUUGCUCCAAUAGUGAAGAUUGAGCAACGACACAUGCAAGAACUCAGCUGGGCUCUGAAAUAUCCAACCUCAUAAGUCUGUUAGCCAAGGACUGAAUGUCCAAAGCUAGUGGCCUCUCCUCUGCUGAAAUGAAUGCCAAGCUGCCCAUACUCUUUGCCUUUCUCCUCAAGGCAUCCGCGACUACAUUCGCCUUGCCCGGAUGAUAAAGAAUAGUGAUAUCAUAAUCCUUCAGUAACUCAAGCCAUCUACGCUGCCUCAAAUUAAGAUCCCUUUGCCUGAAAAAAUACUGCAAGUUGCGAUUAUCAGUGUAAACCUCACAGGACAUUCCAUAAAGAUAAUGCCUCCAGAUCUUAAAAGUAUAAACAAUCGCGGCCAACUCCAAAUCGUGCACGGGAUAAUUCUUCUCAUGGGGCUUCAGCUGACAUAAAUCAUAUGCAAUAACUCACCCAUCCUGCAUCAAUACACAACCCAAACCAACACGUGAAGCGUCGCAAUACCCAAGGCCCCCGGGCCCCACCGAACGUACCAACAAAUUUAAAAUCAUAAAACAGACUCGCUCGAACUCUCGGAACACACAAAACAAUAUCAAAACUAAGAAUCAUACCCCAAACCAACUGAAUCAAAAUAUGAACUUCAAGUUCUUCAAUUUACUUCCAAUGCGCCGAAACGUACUUAAACUACUCGGAAUGAUACCAAAUGUUGCGUGCAAGUCUUAAAUGACAUUACUGAAGUAUUCCCGAUCUCGGAAUUUCAUUUGGGGCUCGAUAUUACCAAAACCUACUUCAAACCAAAUUUAAAGAACUUUAAAAACCUUUAAAGAACCAACAUUUACUAUUAGGCGCCGAAAUGCUCCCGAGUCAUCCAAAACCCGAUUUAAACAUACGCCCAAGUCUGAAAUUAUCAUACAAACCUAUUGAAACCGUCAAAUCUCGAUUUCGAGGUCGUCUACUCAAAAAGUUAACCGAAGUCAAACUUGGCCUUUUUAGCCAACCUUAAGGAAUCAAAUGUUCCAAUUUCAACCCGAACCCUUCCAAAUCAUGAACUAACCACCUCCGCAAGUCACAAAAUAGUAAAAGCACACACGGGGAGUUUUAUUUAGGGGAAUGGGAUUCUAGAAAGCAAAAUGACCAGUCGGGUCGUUACAUUCUCUACCUCUUAAACAAACAUUCAUCCUCGAACGGGUCUAGAAUCAUACCUGGAGUGCUGAAUAAGUGUGGAUAUCUGCUCUGUAUGUGCUCCUCGGACUCCCAAGUCGCCUCCUCGACUAGUUGGCCCCUCCACUGAACCUUUAGCACGGAAAUCCUCUUGGACCUCAACUGGCGAACCUGCCUAUCAACAAUGGCAACUGGCUCCUCCUCAUAACCCCAGGCUCUCAUCUAACUGAAUCGUGCUAUAGUCCAACACAUGUGAAAGGUCGGCAUGAUACUUCCAGAGCAUGGAUACAUGAAAAAUCGAAUGAACUCCCGAUAGACUGGGCGGCAACGUAAUCUCAUUAGCAACCUCCCCAACUCGUUUCAACACCUCAAAUGGGCCUAUGAACCUUGGGCUCAACUUGCCCUUCUUCCCGAACCUCAUGAUUCCCUUCAUCGGUGAAACCUUCAAGAGAACUUUUUCACCCACCAUAACUGAUAAAUCAUGCGCCUUCUAAUCCGUGUAACUCUUCUGUCUGGACUGUGCUGUGCGAAGUCGCUCCUGAAUCAACUUUACUUUUUUCAAGGAAUCAUUCACCAAAUUAGUACCAUAUAACUUAGCCUCGCCGGGCUAAAACCACCCGAUGGGAGAACGACAUUGCCGACCAUAUAAAGCCUCAAAUGGAGCGAUCUCGAUGCUGGACUGAUAAUUGUUGUUGUAAGCAAACUCAGCCAAGGGCAUAAAUCGAUCCCACUACCCUCCAAAGUCAAUCACACAUGCUCUGAGCAUAUUCUCCAAGAUCUGAAUUGUCUGCUCCGACUACCCGUCGGUCUAUGGAUGAAAUGUUGUGCUGAGCUCUACAUGGGUCCGCAACUCACUCUGUACUGCUCUCCAGAAAUGUGAGGUGAACUGAGGGCCUCUGUCUUAUAUGGUGGAAACAGACACACCAUGCAACCAAACUAUCUCCUGAAUAUAAAUCUGGUCCAACCUCUUUGAAGUUUACGUUGUCACAACCGGGAUGAAGUGUGCCGAUUUGGUCAAUCGGUCAACAAUGACCCAACCUGCAUCGAAUUUCCGCAAGGUCCGCAAUAACAUAACUACGAAAUCCAUAGUAAUGCGCUCCCACUUCCACGCAGGUAUAAUCAUCUGUUGAAGUAGGCCACCUGGCGUCUGGUGCUCACACUUAACCUGUUGGAAAUUUAGGCAUCUAGCUGCAUACUCGACUAUGUCUUUCUUCAUCCGAUGCCACAAAUAGUGUGGUCUCUGACCACGAUACAUCUUCGUAGCACCUGGAUGAUUGUAAUACCGAGCGUUGUGUGCUUCCUCUAGAAUCCUCUUCCUCAAGCCAUCGACGUUGGGAACAUAUAGACGACGUUGGAGUCGUAGAACACCAUCCUCGCCGAUAGUAACCUCCUUGGCACCACCCUUUAGUACCGUCUCUCUGAGAACCAUCAAGUGUGGAUCAUCAAGCUGACGGGCACUAAGUUUCUCCAAUAGUGAAGAUUGAGCAACGACACAUGCAAGAAUUCGGCUGGGCUCUGAAAUAUCCAACCUCACAAAUCCGUUAGCCAAGGACUGAAUGUCCAAAACUAGUGUCCUCUCCUCUGCUGAAAUGAAUGUCAAGCUACCCAUACUCUUUGCCUUUCUACUCAAGGCAUCCAUGACUACAUUCGCCUUGACCGGAUGAUAAAGAAUGGUGAUAUCAUAAUCCUUCAGUAACUCAAGCCAUUUGUGCUGCCUCAAAUUGAGAUCUGUUUGCCUAAACAAAUACUGCAAGUUGCGAUGAUCAGUGUAAACCUCAUAGGACACUCCAGAAAGAUAAUGCCUCCAGAUCUUAAGAGCAUGAACAAUCGCGGCCAACUCCAAAUCGUGCAGAGGAUAAUUCUUCUCAUGGGGCUUCAGCUGACAUAAAGCAUAUGCAAUAACUCGCCCCUCCUGUAUCAAUACACAACCCAAACCAAAGCGUGAAGUGUCAUAAUACCCUAGGCCCCCGUGACCCCACCCGAACAUACCAUCAAGAUUGAAAUCAUUAAACGGACUCGCUCGUACUCUCGGAACACACAAAACAACAUCAAAACUAAGAAUCACACCCAAACCAAUUGAAUCAAAAUAUGAACUUCAAGUUCUUUAAUUUACUCCCAACGCGCCAAAAUAUACUUAAACUACUCGGAAUGAUACCAAAUGUUGCGUGCAAGUCUUAAAUGACAUUACAGAAGUAUUCCCAGUCUCGAAAUUUCAUUUGGAACUCGAUAUCAUCAAAACUUACUUUAAACCAAAUUAAAAGAACUUCAAAAAUAUUUAAAGAACCAAGAAUCACUAUUAGGCGCUGAAAUGCUCUCGGGUCAUCCAAAACCGAUCCAAAAUACGCCCAAGUCCGAAAUCAUCAUACGAACCUAUUGGAACCGUCAAAUCUUGAUUGCGAGGUCGUCUACACAAAACGUUGACUGAAAUCAAACUUGGCCUUUUUAGCCAACCUUAAGGAACCAAAUAUUCUAAUUUCAACCCGAAUCCUUCUAAAUCACGAACUAACCACCCUCGCAAGUCACAAAAUAGUAAAAGCACAUACGGGGAGUAUUAUUUAGGGGAACAGGGUUCUAAAAAGGUAAAAUGACCGGUCGAGUCGUUACAUUCUCUACCUCUUAAACAAACAUUCAUCCUCGAACGGGUCUAGAAUCAUACCUGGAGUGCUGAAUAAGUGUGGAUAUCUACUCCGCAUGUCCUCCUCGGACUCCCAAGUCGCCUCCUCGACUGGUUGGUGCCUCCACUAAAUCUUUACCGCAGAAAUCCUCUUGAACCUCAACUGGCGAACCUGCCUAUCAACAAUGGCAACCGGCUCCUCCUUAUAACCCAGGCUCUCAUCUAACUAAAUCGUGUGAAAGUCCAACACAUGUGACAGGUCGGCAUGAUACUUCUGGAGUAUGGAUACAUGAAAAAUCGAAUGAACUCCCGAUAGACUGGGCGGCAAAGCAAUCUCGUAAGCAUCUUCCCCAACUCGUUUCAAAACCUCAAAUGGGCCUAUAAAACUUGGGCUCAACUUGCCCUUCUUCCCGAACUUUACGAUUCCCUUCAUCGGUGAAACCUUCAAGAGAACUUUUUCACCCACCAUAAAUUAUGAAUCACACACCUUAUGAUCCGCGUAACUCUUCUAUCUGGACUGUGUUAUGCGAAGUCGCUCCUGAAUCAACUUUACCUUUUCCAAGGCAUCAUUCACAAAAUGAGUACCAUAUAACUUAUCCUCGUCGGGCUCAAACCACCCUAUGGGAGAAAGACAUCGACGACCAUAUAAAGCCUCAAAUAGAGCCAUCUCGACAUUAGACUGAUAACAGUUGUUGUAAGCAAACUCAGCCAAGGGCAAAAAUCGAUCCUACUGCCCUCCAAAGUCAAUCACACAUGCUCUGAGCAUGUCCUCCAAGAUUUGAACUGUCCGUUCCGACUGUCCGUCGGUCUGUGGAUAAAAUGCUAUAUUGAGCUCUACAGGGGUCCCCAACUCACUCUGUACUGCUCUCCAGAAAUGUCAGGUGAACUGAGGGCCUCUGUCCGAUAUGAUGGAAAAAGGCACACCAUGCAACCGAACUAUCUCUUAAAUAUAAAUCUGGGCCAACCUCUCUAAAGUAUACGUAGUCACAACUGGGAUGAAGUGUACCGACUUGGUCAAUCUAUCACCAAUGACCCAAACUACAUCGAAGUUCUGCAAGGUCCGCGACAACCCAACUAUCUAUAGUAUUGCGGUCGCACUUCCACUCAGGUAUAGUCAUCUAUUGAAGUAGGCCACUUGGCCUCUGGUGCUCAUACUUAACCUGCUGGCAAUUUAGGCAUCUAGCUACAUACUCGUCUAUGUCUUUCUUCAUCCACCGCCACUAAUAGUGUUGUCUCAGGUCACGAUAUAUCUUCAUAGCACCUGGAUGAAUGUAUUACCAAGAUUUGUGUUCUUCCUCUAGAAUCCUCUUCCUCAAGCCAUCGACGUUGGGAACACAUAGACGAUCCUGGAGUCGCAGUACACCAUCCUCGCCGAUAGUAACCUCCUUGGCACCACCCUGUAGUACCGUCUCUCUGAGAACCAUCAAGUGUGGAUCAUCAAACUGUCGGGCCCUAAUUUGCUCCAAUAGUGAAGAUUGAGCAACGACACAUGAAAGAACUCGGCUGGGCUCUAAAAUAUCUGACCUCACAAGUCUGUUAGCCAAGGACUGAAUGUCCAAAGCUAGUGGCCUCUCCUCUGCUGAAAUGAAUGCCAAGCUACCCAUACUCUCUGCCUUUCUGCUCAAGGCAUCCACGACUACAUUCGCCUUGCCCGGAUGAUAAAGAAUGGUGAUAUCAUAAUCCUUCAGUAACUCAAGCCAUCUGCGCUACCUCAAAUUGAGAUCCCUUUGCCUGAACAAAUACUGCAAGCUGCGAUGAUCAGUGUAAACCUCACAGGACACUCCAAAAAGAUAAUGCCUCCAGAUCUUAAGAGCAUGAACAAUCGUGACCAACUCCAAAUCGUUCACACGAUAAUUCUUCUCAUGGGGCUUUAGCUGACGUGGAGCAUAUGCAAUAACUCACCCUUCCUAUAUCAAUACACAACCCAAACCAACGCGUGAAGUGUCGCAAUACAAAGUAUACAUCCUCGAGCCGAAAGGUAACACUUGAAUGGGCAUUGUAGUCAAAGCUGUCUUGAGCUUCUGGAAGCUUGCCUCACAAUCAUCAGACCAAUGGAACGGAGUACCCUUCUGGGUCAAUUUGGUCAAAGGUGCUUCAAUAAAUGAGAAACCCUCUACAAACCGGCGAUAAUAGCAUGCUAACCCCAAGAAGCUCCUGAUCUCAGUCGCCUUAGUAGGAGGAGGCCAACUCUGAACUGGCUCAAUCUUCUCGGGGUCUACCUUAAUACACUCGCCUGAUACAACAUGCCCCAGGAAUGCUACAGAAUAUAUCCAAAACUCACACUUGAAGAACUUAGCAUAUAGCUUCUGUUCCCGCAAGGUCUGAAGCACCACUCUCAAAUGCUUCUCGUGCUCCUCCAUGCUACAUGAGUAAAUCAAAAUGUCAUCAAUGAAAACAAUGACAAACGAAUCAAUGUAAGACACCCUGUUCAUCAAAUCCAUAAAUGCCGCUGGGAAUUAGUCAAGCCGAAGGACAUUAUUAGGAACUCAUAAUGGCCAUAUCUAGUACGGAAAGCUGUCUUCGAAACAUCCGAGUCCCGAAUCUUCAACUGAUGGUACCCCGAUCUCAAGUCGAUCUUAGAGAACACCUAGCACCCUGUAACUAGUCAAAUAGAUCCUCAAUACGCGGCAACGAGUACUUAUUCUUAAUGGUAAUGUUGUUCAACUGGUGGUAAUCAAUGCACAUCUGCAUAGUUCCAUCUUUCUUCUUCAUAAAUAACACUGGUGCACGCCAAGGCGAUACUUGGUCUGACGAACCCCUUUGCUAGCAACUCCUCAAGUUGUUCCUUCAACUCCUUCAACUCUUUCGGAGCCAUACGGUACGAUGGAAUAGAUAUAGGCUCGGUACCUGGAGCCACAUCAAUGCAGAAAUCGAUAUCACAAUCUGGUGGCAUGCCUGGAAGAUCAGAAGGAAACACAUCAGAGAACUCCCAGACUACUAGUACUGAAUCAAUCAUCGGAGACUAUGCGGUAGUAUCCCGAACAUAGGCUAGAUAAGCCAAAUAACCCAUCUCGACCAUGUGUUGAGCCUUCAUAAGAGAGAUGAUCCGAGAAGGUGUGCUGACAGACGAACCCUUCCACUCAGAUCUAGGCAACUCUGGCAUCGCCAAGGUAACAGUCUUGGCAUGGCAAUCAAGGAUGGCAUUAUAUGGAGGUAACCGGUCCAUGCCCAGGAUAACUUCAAAGUCGGUCAUAUCGAGCAACAUGAGAUCCGCUCUAGUCUCAUAACCAUAGAAUGUGACCACACAAGACCGAUAGAUCUGAUCCAUAACAAUAGAAUCGCCCAUAGGAGUGGACACAUAAACAGAAGUACCCAAGGACUCACGAGGAAUAUCCAGGAAAUGGGAAAAUAGAGAUGACAUAUAUGAAUAGGUAGACCCUGGAUCAAACAAUACUGAAGCAUCCGUACCGCACAUAGAAAUAGUACCAGUGAUCACGACAUCUAAGGCCACUACAUCUGGUCUGGACGGAAAAUCAUAUAACCUAGUUGGAGCGCCGACUGGUUGGCCUCUGCCUGUCUGAACAGUAGCUGGCUGACCUCCCCCUGCCUAGCCUCCACCUUUAGGACGGCCCCUACCCGCCUGUCCUCCGCCUCUAGGCGGUCGGGCGGCUGGUGCUGAAAUCAUGGGCUGAUGACCAUGUUGUACUGCCUUGCCCCGAUACCUGAGGCAGAACCUCCGUACAUGACUGGGAUCCCUGCACUCGAAACAACCUCUCAGUGCGGUGAUCUUUUAUCCUGAAGUCUAACCAUGAUGGCCUGAAUACCCACGGGAAGAACCCUGAAUGGCUGGUGGGCGAUAAGAACUCUCUGGCAUGGAACUGAAGUAGGCGCUGGAAGAACCCUGAAUAGCUGGUAGGCGGUAAGAACUCUCUGGCAUGGUACUAAAAUAGGGUCACGCUGGAGCACCCCAAGGAGGCGGCGGUGCUAGAUAUGUAGGCCUGCUGGGCUUACCCAUUAUGAACUGACCUUUUUCCCCCAGCCGGGGCACCUCUAAAUAAUCCGAAAUAACAGACCCUCUUGUCCCGCUGUAUCUGCUCUCUACCCUUAUGAUGGUAACCCUCAAUCCUCCGAGCAAUCUCCACUACUAGCUAAUAGGAAGUCCCUAUCUCAACCUCCUGGGCCAUAGUAACAUGAAUACCUGAGUGCAACCCUGCAACAAACCUCCGCACUCGCUCUGCCUCAGUAGGUAGUAUCAUAAGUGCAUGUCGAGACAACUCAGAAAAUCUCGCCUCAUAAUCGGUCACUGACAUCUGGCCCUAUUGGAGCUGCUCAAACUAGAACCGCAACUCUUCCCUCUGAGAGGGUGGGAUAUACCUAUCCAAGAAUAGAUGUGUAAAUUGGUUCCAAGUCAUGGGAGGAGAACCUACUCGUCUGCCAAGAAGGUAAGAUUGCCACCACCUACGGGCCCUGCCCUCCAACUGGAAAGUAGUGAAAUCCACCCCAUAUGACUCCAAUAUCCUUAUGUUAUGCAGUUUGUCCUUGCACCAAUCAAUGAAAUCAUAGGGAUCCUCAUGUCGCUCACCUCCAAAGAUAUAAGGGUGUAGCCUAGUCCAUUUAUCCAAUAGUUUCUGCGGUUCGCCUGCCACAGAUGGUCUAGGCUCAGGUGCCGCUGUUGCAAAUGGCAGGGCACCACCCACAGGUAGUGCACCCGGGGUCUAAUAUAUGGCAGCCAUAUGCCCUAGAGCCUGAGCAGUAGGGGUCUGUGCUCCCCCUCCCACCUGAGAUGUGGCUGGGUCUACUGGAAAUAAACUAACCUGGGUCAUAGUAUCUAUGAACCUUAGCAUGCGGCCCAUGACCUCUUGAAAGCCUAGUGCUGAAAUGAAAUUGACCGAGGCUGGCUUUGCUACGGCCACCUCGUCCUGCUCCUCAAUAAUGGGAUCCUCUACUGGAUCCACUGGUGGUACAACUGGGGCAACUCUGGGAUGCCCUCGUCCCCUACCUCGGGCGGGUGCCCUCCCCCGGCCUCUGCCUCGACCUCUAGCAACAGGGGGAGUAG
rnacentral:lncRNA from 1 species